rnacentral:lncRNA from 1 species
GUGGUGUGUGAAGAGAGCACGCUUCGAGGUGAGCUCAUCAGUUCUUCUUGGGUCCCCUGGACCUUACCAAACUCCCCAAACUUGCCUGGCAUUCUCAGGGGAGAGUCAGAAUGAAUUUGGUGACAUUUCCAAUGUGGUUGAAAGUUCCCUUGAAUUUCAAGUUCCCAGCAAGUUCGUAGCUAGUACCCUGCUAAGUCCAGCUCUUGCAAGAACAGGCCCGGUUCUGAGCAGGCCUGAAAACCCUGUGACUGGACCAUUUGUUCUCCCUCACAAGCUCAGCUACCUUGUCCAUCAAGUGAAGCUCCUGACAAGCUGAACGAAGCCAGACACGGAAGAAUGCAUUUUGUGUGUCAGGGUUGGUGACUUCACUGCCCCUCAGAAGUCCCUGUUGUUGAAGGCCUGGUCCCUGAUGUGGAAGUUUUCAGAGGUGUAGCCUUGGGGAGGUGGUUGGGUCAGGAGAGCUGUGACCUCAUGAAUAAAGAAGUCUAUUUAUGGAUUCAUGAUUUAAGGAGUUUGGGGAGAGAUUCUUCAUGACCAAAGCAAGUUCCCUCUCCUUGUUUCCUGGCAACCGUGAGGCAAACAGCUCUUUUGCACCAUGUGACCAAGAUGGUCUGCCUGUUCCAGGCCCAAAGCCAUGUGUGUGGGGGUGGCGAGUGAUCGUGCCCCGAAAACUCUGAACUCUCGAGCCAAAAUAGACCUUCCUUCCUUACAUGUUGGUUAUCUCAGGAAUUUUGUCACAGUGGUGUGAAGUGAAUACAUUAUAUGAUGCCACUUAUAGGAAAUAUCCAGAAGGGCAAAUCCAUACAGGGAAAGAUGAGUGGUUUCCAGGGGUUGGAGGGAGGAGGGAAGGAGAAGUGACCAUUGGCAGGCACAAUCUUACUUUUUAAGGUAAUGAAAAUAUUCUGUGGUCAGAUAGGGGUGAUGAGCCCACAACUCUGUGGGUUGUAUAUAUCAGAAGUGUGAAUUUUAUGGCAAGUGAAUAAUAUAUCAAUUAGAAGAACAAGCCAGUGGUGGAGAGCUUAUCUGGCAUGUGUGAGGCCUUGGGUUCAAUUUCUAGUACUGUGACAAAUAAAUAGAAUGCAUAUGAAGGACUUUUCACCACUGACAUUUUAUAGUUCUACAAAUAAGGUUUUGUUUGUUUCUUUGCUUAUUUUUCCCCCCAAUUGAGCUUAUUCUAGAACAUUGUAGAAAGUAAAGAUAAAAAAAAAAAUUCUGGUUUGAUCUUCUCUUUGCUCCUAAGCUGCAGAGUAUGAUUAUUGCUGCUUAUCCAGCUGCUGGUUUGCCUUGCAGUGAGAACGUGAUAAUUAUUGGCAAAUUUGCAAGAUGGGCAGAUCUGGGAAUAAGGGAAGAUAUUCUUUUUGAUUCUGGCCUUAAGAAAUGAAAGAUAAAUAUGUUUAUCUCUGUGGGCUUCAGUCCCCUUUCAGUGAGCAGUUUGAGCUUGAAUUCAAGUGAUUUGGCUCUGAUACAAAUAGCAUACAUUAUAUGCAAAUUUCCCAAGCAUAUGAACACAAUCACAUUCACAGUUGGAAGAAAGUGAAACAAAAUCUAUAUUUAACUACACAAUCACUUAUUAUGCUAAAAAUACCCUCUUUCAAGACACAUUCUUUUUUCCCCCCAGUGGUUGGAAAAUAAAUUUGUACUAUGCCCUCUGUGGUGAGAUCAAUUGUAAAAUUAUGGCAUAAAAUUUUAAUCUGCUAUUUUUUCUUCUUUGAGCAAUUUAUUUUUGAAAGCAGAGAAAUAAUGCCUUUCUCCUGCUUCUAGGCCUUUGAGCAAAAGAGAUCAUUUUAAACACCUGUUUUGCUCCAAGAACUUGUGAGAUUCUAGAAUAUGUAUGGUGAUGCGUGCCUGCCGGCUGCCCAGUGCUUGCUCAGGAUGCAUCUUGGGGACACUGCCAGUUAGCUGGAACUUGGGAAGCUUGGGUUUGGGGCUCUCCAUCAGCAUCCGUGCUGGAAUCGCUGUGGUUCAGGGAGGAGGCGUUGCUGCCCCUAGAGAUGCCUCAGAGCUCUCCACAGCUCCGAAAGGGGGUGCUUUUUCAUCUCCCUAGCACUCCCACACCCAUUUACCUUUAUCUCUCUUCUCUCGUGAUGGAAGCAAUCAAACAACUUUAUAGCCUAUAAAGAUGUUUUCUAUGAUAUUUUUUAAGGAGUGCUGAUAUAGUUGAGAUCUUGGAUUUCCCCUGACCAAAGGGGUAAAAAUUAGAAAAGCCAGUAUAUGAUUUCUCAGGGGACUAGAAGCCUGUGGGAGUAUCCUGGUGGCAGGUGAUAGUGUAGGGUGUGAAGGGCUGGGGUAACAGUGUGCAUUGGUACAUUACAAACCCUGAGAAGCCUAGAGGAUAUUGGCUUUCCAUAUUUAAGGAAGUGGCAUAUGAUUAGUUAGUGAUUUAACUAACAGAGUUUCAUUUCUUUCUCACAUCACAGCCCACUGUGGGUUGGGUGACCCUGCUACAAAGAGUAACUUCAGGAUUCCAGUGCCUUGUACAAUUUGGCUCAAUAAUAUAAAAUAUCUCUACCUAUAAAACUGUUAAAACGCUCUACCAAAGUAGGGGUCUUUCACCCCCAGCUCCUUGGAUGGAGAAAGAGGGAGAGCCAAGUUUCUUGAGGCAGAUUUUCAGCAUCUUGACUGGAAGAAGGUUUCUUCUCUUUAUCUCCCCAUUCUAUUGGCCAUAACUAGAUACAAUCUGAGUGAAAGGGAGGCUGGGAAUGGGGUUUCCUUGUGUCCCCAUGAAGGAGAAAUUGGAUCCGAAAGGAUCAAGUCCAUCUCUUGUGGAUCCCGUCUGGUCUCCAACAAUCAAUUUCUCUCUUUUUCUUAAAUGUGAAAUAUGCUUACCUCCAUCCCAUGGGCAACAAUUUAAUGUCCUGACCAAUGAACCCAGAUGUCCAGAUGAGGUUCAGGCCUCUUCACUAGAUCCAGAUGUGUGUUCUCACAGUCUGAUGAACCAUGAAGGUAAGUUACCUGUCUGUCCCAAUUUCUCAAUUUCCCUCCCUGGAUAAGGGCCCCAUUAUAUAUUAGGAUGGAGAUGGAUGUUCAUGGUAUCCACUCUCAUCUAAAAAGGAGAAACACACUGGAUGAAGAAAUCACUAGUUAUAAACGUGGCCACUGAGGCCCCCUGACCAGAUCUCCCCUCAGGACCAAUGCCCUUUGUCUCAGCGGCCCACUGUGCUGGCUGCUGAUGGUUCACAACUGAGUGCCCACCAGGAAUUGUCAUUAGAACAAGGAAGACUCUGACCCAUUGACGGCAGCUUGCAUUUAAUGAUUAAUGUGGGAUAUGAAGUCAUAGCCCUUUUGCCUCAAACGGGACAAUUCUGAAGGGCCCUCCAAGCCCCCAGGCUCCUGUGGGAUCAGCCAGGUCCUUUGCUGCAAUUACUUUAUGAUUCAACAUUUCCCUCUGCCCAGUCCUGCUUCUCUCACUUUAGAGGUGGUGUUCCAGUGACAUUUUCCAAGUGGUCUUUUUAAAUCUGGGAACAUUUUAAAAUAAGGGAAAUGGAAAGUACAUCCUUCUUAGGGGUUUUGACACUUGUCUCCUGCUUGACACAGGUCAGGUUCAUGUUUAGAUGGGCCAAAGACUUUUUGAAUGAAUUUGUGAGGUUUUUUUUUUUUUUUUUUUUUUUAGUUUGUGAUUUUUUUUUGGAAAAUGCAAUUCUUUCAACAUCUUGAUGGCUUCUCAUUUUUAUACUCCCAGUCAGUUCCCUGUGUGAUAGGCACACCCUAAGUCCUUUCCUAAAUAUAGUUCUCAGGCCUGUUUGUCUUUUCAUCCCCUACCUCUCUGUCUCAACGAAAGCUAUCUUGAAGUGAUCAGAAUUGAAUUGGAUUAAUUGAAUCAUAAUUUAUCAUUGCUCUGAGUCACUUCUUUCAACUGAGGAAUUUUUCCUAGACUUUGCAUAUCAAUGUCUUUGAAAAUCUCCUGCAUUACUUGUGGGGGUUUAGAAUCUUUUAACUUUUCCAAUCUCGAAAAAACAUUUGAAUUUCUGGACUUUCUGUAUUCUCUUUCAUUUCUUCCUGCAAAGCAUCUGUUUUUUUCCUUGAGCUCUUGUCUUACAUUAUCUUGCCAAAGAUAGCCAUUGGGAGUCAACUCAUACCAACAAUGCUCUCUUUCCAGACCUUCUGUUAGAGCUGUUGGUUAACAAGGAAUGCCAUCAAUAUCUCAAGUGAUCCCAGCUGGAAACGAAACCAAAUUUCUUCCAACUGCAUAACCUGGAGACCUGUCAUCUCAGCCUGUCGGCAUUCUUGGUUCCCAUUUACUAAUGUUUGACCAAUACCAUUUAUUUUAGCUUUAUGUUAUGACAGCAUCCCAUUUCUCAGUAUUAAAUUUUGUAUGAAAUUGACUUAGCACACAAAACAUUAAAUCUGUCCUAAUGUCAGAGUUUGUUGCAGAUUAGAUUGCUUUCUGAGGAUGUUUUCCUCAAUGCCAUGGGUCUUGGAGUAUUUAAUCAUGGAACUACCAUCUCCAUGUUCUUUGGGUUUUGCCAUGUGGAUGAAGAGAGAGCAAGAGUUGAGGAUCUUUGGAAGAGUUUAAGGGCCGGGCAUGGAACAUAGUAGGCCUCCCUCACUUCUUCUCACAUCCCAUUAUUCAGAAGUAGUUACACAGCCACAGACUCCUGGGCAAUUGCAUCUUGCUUUCUUCUCAAGAAAAGGAGGAGAGAUUGAGGAGCAUCCAGUUAUUUUUAUACUUUCAAAAUUCAUGUCUCUGUAUCCCAGAUGUUUCCUCUAACUGAAAAUAUUGAUUAAAUACUAUCAAAAGUUUACAUGGUAUUUCAGUUUAGAAAGUACUCAUAUGCACUGUAAGUUUGGAUCCUCCUCUGUGAGGUAUGUUUCAUUCUCCUCAGUAGAGGGUAACACUGUGGAGCAUGGAUCUCAUCCUAUGAUACUUACAAACCUUCUUUAUGUAGUUGGCAUUAGUAACAGAAAGUGACAGGAAGAAACAUUCUGUUGUCAUGAUUGUGUUUUAAGGUAAGAAAUAGAUAAUAUUGAACAAUAACAUGAAUAAAUAUUUAUUUACAAGUGAGAUCAGUGCUCUGUAGGAAAGAUAUAUGAUUAUGCAGGAAAACAUUAAAAAAUAUAGCCGAUGACAUUUCUUUUUGAAGUAAUGAUAAUAUUAAAAUUGGAUUAUGAGGACAGUUGCAAAACUCUGUAUAUUUAUUCAAAUACCACUGGUUGUGCCAGGAGCUUUGCCCAUGCCCUUAAUCCAGAACUCGGAGACUGAGACAUGAGGAUUUCAAGUUCAAGACCAGCCUAGUUGUUCAAGGUGGAUUUUAUGGCAUGAAAAUUCUUUCUCAAUAAAAAUGUUUUAAAAGAGGGAAAUACAUGCAGAAAAACAAUAUAAAACAGUUCACCCCUGUGAAUGCAUUGUAUAGAUUACACAUCCUGUGGAAAGUCAGAACCAUGAGAAAUUACUGGGGUUUUCUAUCAGGUUUUUUUGUCAUUUUCCAUAGGCUUUUUUUUUUUUUUAAUAAGUCAGGAAAUGUGAAAAAAAAAUACAUUUGAAAAGAAAACGUACACCAACCCAUUACCUCUUUGUUUUUGAAUCAUGUCCUAGUCUUACGGUGAAUUAUGUUAAUGAUGGAAUAAAAGUCAUGUUUUCCCUUGAUGACCUCCGCUACAGCAGGAACACACACUGGUCUAGUGCAAUGUCAUUUUUAUUUGUCCAGUUAAUCUAUCGGGUGUUUCUUAGCAAUUGGAGAGACAUGGCAAACAAAAACAAAAACAAAACAAACUAACUAUCCUAAACUGAAAGGCUCCAGGAAAGAAAGAUCCUUGGAGAACUCCAAACUUGAUGUCUGAAAGUGGAUCAGAGUUCUUUAGGGAGCAAAGAAAGAGGAGAACAUGCUGAACAGAGAUGAGUACAAAGGAAUCAUUUUGUUACAAGAAAGGCUCCUGAAUGUGAGUGCACAGAGGAAACCAGAUGGCGUCCAGUGAGACCUCUAUGGUGUCAACUGGAUAGACCAAGUAAAGGAUUUUCAUCUUUCCCCACCAAAGGAAUGGGAAACUACUGGAGAGUUCGAAGGCAGAGAGGCAAGGUUGAUUUGGAGGAGAGCACUUUCUUUUCCUGCAGCAUCUCUCACUAGAAUUUAAAUUCCUUGACUUCAUUCAGGUUCAAGGGGUUGAGUUGGGACCUUGAACUCUAGCCAUCUGGCUACAGAGGCUGCUGGACAAUGCCAAGUCGGCCAAGCUAGCACUUAUGGAAGGCCUUGGCCAGAACUAUCCCAUCAGUCACUGAGUACUCCUAGGGAUGCAAGAAAUGAACUCAGAAGUAUACAACUGCUGAGCAGGUCAGAUGUCCUUUUUGUGCCAACAAUAUGAAUUCUAGAGUCGAGGCUGUUUGCCUCAGAAGGUAGAGAGUCAAGCUUCUGAGAUGAACUGACUCAGGAUGCACUGCUCAAAUGUGGACCCAGGGGAUUGCUCUGAGGAACUCAUGUGGCCUUGAGAGCCGUGUGUUCACUCCAGUUUCCUUCAUAUGCUCUUCACUUUUUGGUUGGUCCAGUAUUAAACCAAAGCAAGGGUAAACGGGCAUAUGGCUGUAUUUGUUAUUUUGAGCUGGCGCCACGGCUGAUUAUUCAGAGCUUAUGCCAAACCAGUGGACUUUCACCACUGAUAUUGGCUGUUCCUCAACCUUGGAACACCUUUUGAAUCAGCCCAGCCCAGGCUGGCCGUGAAGUCAAAGGAGAGAUUCAUGGUCAUUAGAUAAAAUAUCCUACCUUCUUUCCCUCCAAAGAUUCUAACGUAGACCAGCCAAGGGUCUGAACUGCAUGGGUGAGGCAAUUAAGAUGGGUGCAGCGGAAAUAAUGGAAAUGAUGUAUUACUCUGUGGAACUUCUCUGAAUUGAUGUCCUGUUCUCAGAUAUGCAGUGGGGGUUUCCCACUUCUGCCCCAACCAUCCUGGGAAAUUCUCCAAGGCUGCCCAGUGACUUCCUAUCUGCUCCAUGACUGGGGUCAGUGAGCUUGGGGACUAUUUUUUUCUUCAUUUGAAGUUCAGUGCAGAGGAAAAGUAAAUGUACCUUCUACUUAUAAAGAUCCUGUAGUAGAUACUGUGGUAAGAACAUUACACAUGAGAUCAUAUUUAAUCUUCAUAACAAAGAUUUUCAAAUGUAUGCUUAUCCUUUCAUAAAUGAGAAACUUGAGUGUCAAGGCAGUUACCUGUUGAGAGCCGAAGGGGCCCCAGCAAACUUCCAGCUGCCAGCAAACUUCCAGCUGCCAGCUGAUGAUUGGCUCAGAGCGGCCCCAGCAAACUUCUAGCUGACAACUGAUUGGCUCCUCUGCGGUGAUGCUCAUUGGGCUGUUUCCCUGCCCUUUCAGACCACGGAGCUGCUCAUUGGGGGACUCUUUUUUGGCUCCGCCCAUGCGACCCAGCUAAUCGGCCUCAAGAGCAGGAGGAGUGGGGGAGGUUGAGACGCUUGUGGGAAGCCGGUGGUGGCAGUUGGGCUCUGAGGGUUUUCCUGAGGAGCUGUGUGGUGCCCUGUGUGUUCUAAAAAUAAAGUUCGUUUCUUUUGACAAGUGGCUCCUGAAUUGUGCCCAGCCAGACUGCGGCCGUUACCUAAUAGUACAUAUUAUGCAGAUAGGAAGUAAGAGAACAAAGACCUUUCUAAUACUCUAGUACUUACAUAUUCAAUAAUGAGUCUCGUUAAGCAUAUUUUAAUAAAUAAAAAACAUGGGGCUGGGGAUGUGGCUCAAGUGGUAGCACGCUUGCCUGGCAUGCAUGCGGCCUGGGUUCAAUCCUCAGUACCACAUACAAAACCAAAGAUGUUGUGUCUGCCAAGAACUAAAAAAUAAAUAUUAAAAAAAUUCUCUCUCUCUCUCUCUCUCUUAAAAAAAUAAAUAAAUAAAAAACAUUUGAAGACCAAUUUUUGUGUGUCUCGACAAAAUCAUAUCUGUAAUCAGACAGAAUUGGGCUUCAGUAACUAUCGGCUGUGUUGUCUCUUCUUACAUAGAACUUUGGGAGUAGGAGAAAGUGAUCCAAAGUGAGGUAGUAGCCAUCUCAUCCAACAACUGAAGUUAAGCACAAAGAACUGGGCUAAUUCAUAGCCAACAUACCAGACUGACCAAGCUCAGAGAGACCCAAGUCCUCAUCAAAGAAAUUCCUGACCAUCCCAGAGCAUUAGCAUGGGCUUUGAAAUCAGAGGACCCAUGCGGAGUCCCGGCCCUGCCACUUUCCAACUGGAUGACCUUGGAGAACGUGUGUCUCACUGAGUCUGGGUCUAGAAAAAGAUAUGAAUGUUCAAUCCAAAGAUGCCUAGAGUUGUUCUUCUAAACCAGGACCACCAUGUACUUAAGGGCCCUGAAGCUUGGUACCCAACAUAAUCCAGAGGAGCGCCUGCCUUGGAGGACAGUAGCUAAUGAAGACAGUGUCUAGAAUUUGUUUCAAACCCACAGCCAUUCUAUCCCACUUCACUGCCUCUCAGGGACUUGUUACUUAACAAACACUGGUUGGUAAACUGUUUUCCACAUGUUUGUCUCUCCUCUCUUUGUAAGAUACCCAGUGAGUGGCUUGGUAUGUGCUGUACCUCAUAUUUAACAUCAGUGAAGUGGGGAUAACAUUGUCCACCUACUUCUUGGUGGCUUUGAGGUAGAUUAUGACAUUAAUAUUUACAAGAGACUGUGAAGGGAAAGAUAAAGGCAUAGAGUGAAGUCUGAGUCUUCUUUCUUCUCUGUGACAAAAUACUCUAGUUAAUCAACUUAUAAAAAGUAAAUAAUUAUUUUGGCUCAUGGUUUUACAGAUAUCAGCCAAGGAUCGGUUGGCCGUGUUGUUUCUGGACCUGUGGUGAGUCAGCACAAUAUGGCAGGGGCACAUGGAGCAAAGCUGCUCACCUCUGGGGGACCAGGAAGCAAAGAGGGAGAGAGGAAGGGGCUGGGACCCCAACUCCUCCUUCCUCCACGAGGCCUUACCUCCUAAAGGUGCUACCACCUGCCAAUACUGCCACAGACUGGCACCCAAGCCUUCAACAGAUGGGCCUAAAGUCAACUUAUUAAAACAUUGUGAUAAAAGCAAUGGAAUUUUAUUGACAUAUAUAUGUAUGUGGAGCAGUCUUUAUGUAGUAAGUUGACAUGUAAGCCUGGUAGGUCAUAAGUUAUGGAAUUGGAAACCAGAUCAAAGUGGAAAACACCUAGUCAACCGGAUCACCCAAAUCUAUGCCAAAAGUUUUGCUGCUUUUUCUGGCUUCAAUCAGCAAUCCUUUGUGGGUACAAACCUGAAUUCUUAGCCUCUGGCCCAGGCAAAAUAUCUGCACAUGCCUAUGGUUCCAGUGGCUGCAGAAAUGAGAUUAAACUCUCCAAAGUUUUCCCCUCUCUGGAGUCCUAGCCUCCCUCUACCCCACCCAUUUUUAUUGUUUUAGCAAUUUAAAAAUAGAGUAGGAAGGUAUUUGAGUCAGAGAAAUGCCAUGGCAAGAAGCCAAGAGAAGCCACCUGAGUUUGGGGGAAUUUAGAGAAGUCAAUGUUAAUUCAGUGCUUAUGGAAGAUCCCAGGUAACACGAGGGAAGCAGGUAGGAAAAAGAAAAGGUACUCUAGUGAACUGUGGGGCUUAUAGAAACCUGCCAAGUAUCAAACCAUCAAAGGGUCCAGCUUCUAUGAAGCAUGGGCUAAUCAUCGCCAAGUGGAAAAACAGGUUAUUCUCACUUUCAAAUAAGAAGCGGCAAAGACCACAAUUUUUAUGCAAAAUCUCCUGAUUUUUAAAUACUGGCCCAAUUUUCUUUUGAAAACACUAAUCAGGCCAAAUACUUACUGCCUGCUCUGUGCCUUUUUUAUUCUGAUUUUUCCUGUUUAUAAACUGGGGUUAAUAAUUCCUAUUUGGCAGUGUUGUAAUGAUUACAAUAUUUAGGGUCUAGCAUUUAUUUGAUGCACAUAACCCUUAUUAAUGACAUGCAUCUUUAUUACCAGUUACAUAAGGAGAGCAUGAUAGAUGAGCUACUUAGAGAAUGCCUCAUCUCAGAGGGGCUCAGGCAGACACAUGAUGUUCUCUUGUCCAGAAUAUUACUGAGGACAUUAAUUCUUUAGACUCAGAGUUGAACUCAAUCAAAGGUGGACUAAAUCUUCUUUGCAAGACCAUUUGACUGGUUGGGCCUGCCUACAUAUUGGGUUAAGAAAUGUUCUGCAUCUGUAGCCAGGCUCAGUGCAAGGGGGGCCUCAGAAUUGACUGACGAGUCCUGCCAAAGUCCCCCAAAGUAAAAGCACCCUCAUACAUAGCACACUUUCUAUCGGAGACUAGAUCAUUUCUAAGUUCAUGUCCAGCCCUGAGUGUACAAAUAAGAUUGAAUCAAAUCUGACCUCUCUCUAGUGCUUUGGUCUACAUUGUGAAAAUUGGUGGCAAUGAAAUAUUGAUUAAUGGAGAUUUCUAUGUGAUAGACUAUUAUAUAAGCCAGAUUUGUCUGUUCUUAUCCUGGUGGAGUAUCCACAUCCAGCACAGACAGGUUUAUUAACAAAUUUAUCUAAUGUCCUGAUUUUGUACUACUCAUGAUGUCUUCUUUACAAUUCAUUUCAGUUUAAUUGGAAAGACACUUCCUGGUUCCAUAGUGAGAAGCUAAGUCCACACUGAAGAAUAAUACUGGAUGCUUUUACUAGCAUCUGACAUGCUUAUCCCUGGCACUCCCAGUGGCACAAACAAGAAAGAAUGAAUAAAAUGUAAGGGAAGGUAGACAAUCCUAUACCUCCCUCCAUGCUGUCUCAGAUUUCCCGGCAAAACUAAAGAGAAUGAUUGCCUCCAUCAAAGAUUUUGCAGCCAGAAUCUGUAACAGAAGUCCCAAGAAUAAAGACUUUUUAGGGACUCUUGUUUAAUACUUUGAGAAAAAUGUUAAGAAUACUAAACAAUAACACAUGAAUUUUUCCCAACUUAUAGGAUUUUUUUUUAUCUUAAAAUUUUUUAAUCUCUUUGGUGAACAGAAGAGUGAGCAGACUUCCUUUGGAUUCCUGGGAUCUUUACAUGCUUAUAGGACACAAAGGAGCAAGGAUGAACUGGCUGGGAAGCAUCACAGAGUGGGCAAGAUUAAAUUAGGCUUUUAAAAAAUAAAGUUUCACAGCUAUAAUCAGACCUGAGUGGAGGGUAGAUGAUUAUACAUUCAGAGGAAGUAGUUUGUGUAAAGGGAUGGAGACAUUAAAUCAUCCAGCCUCUCCAGGAAACUGCAAAGGCUUUGAGGCUGUUGCAUAUGAAGUUUCCAGAUUAGGCAUGGCAUGGAUAAGGCUGGUGAGUGGGGGGAGCCAACGGGGACAAUAAGCCACUCUGUUAGAAGCAUCACAUUCUUCUAAAUAUAUAUAUUUUUCUUUGCAUUUUUAAUUGCUCUUUUUCUUCUUUCUCAACUUCCCACUCACAGAUGAAAAGGCAGAUGAAGUAGAAGAGGUUUUUUUUUUUUCUUCAUUCAUAAGUUGUAGUUCAAAAUUAAAUCAUCCGUGACAAACCUCUCUGCCUGGCCUUGGCCACCUAUCAAGGGCCUCCCCUCACUGGUGAUCGAUGGUCCUUCUGGCUCUGGAACUGAGCCAAAAAGGAAGCAGCCACUGAUGAAAGGAGGAGGCAGCAAAGCAGAGAGACCCAGAAGUCCCGACUGGAGCACAGGUUGAGAGUUUCCUUUUAGUAGGAAGCGUUCUGCCAAGGUGGGACUGUUCAGCCAACGGCCUACAGACAGGUGGCAAUGUCCUCCAAAAGCCAUUAAGAAUCCACCUUCUGGGUUAACCUUGUGAUCCUUUGGAGGAAAUAUUGACAAUAGAAAGCUAGACUGUGCUUUGGAAAAACACAGACCCUCACUCUGAGGGUCUGAGGGCCAAAAGCCUUCGAAGAUGCCCUCCCAGCCUCCUCCGGCAGAUUCCAUAACAGUCCCCCUCCUUAAUUUUCUGGUUCUGAUUCCCACUAGAAACAGCUUCGAGAGGUUUUCAGAUGAUCAGGAUUAGAAGCAACAAUAUUGCUCUUCCUGAGAACUAAAGGAACUUUAAAUAGCAUUCAUAAUGUACCUCAUCUUUGAAGUCUUCUGUAAAUACUCUACAGAUGGAAUAAUUGGCCAUAUUUCCAAAUUCUUUUGGAUUAUGCUUGUAUCUUAUGCAAUCUCGAGAUUGUUGUGGUAAAGAGGGUGCUGGGAGUAAUGAGAAUUGUCAAUAAUGUUGUUUCCAUAACCUUGAUGUCUCCAAAUGCACUGUAUUGGUGAUAGCUUCUGCUUGUGUGCAGUUACAGCAAAUGUCACCUUAUUUGAUUCAUAGAUGUCCUCAACAACCUCUGAAGGAACUUGUGAUGACUCCUGUUCAGAUACAGGAGAACAGAGGCUCGGAGGGGCUGAUGGACCUUGCCACCUUCACAACACUGCAAGUAACGUGCUGGCUUAGAGCAAAGCGUCCUGGGUUUCCAGUUACUUUCCCUUAAUGUCCUCAGGGCACCUCACACACUUGCGUCUUUGUCCUGAUAGUUCAGGGUGUCUGUAAUACUCCUUCACCCCUGAUUUUUAAAAAGAUCUUUAAUCUCUUUGCCUUUUGAACAGAGCGUAGGUGUCACCAUGUGUAGGUGGCCCUGUGCAUCCUCCCAGUUCCAGGCCAGGUGGUUGCUGUGUACAGCUCUGUUGCAUUUGGGCUCAGCCCUCUGCAAUACACUGUCCUGCUCAGACUGCUUACUCAGAGAUCCUAUAAGGCCGUGACUCUGAACUCUAUCUACACAUCACACAGAAUAGUUGACAGAAAGCUGGUGCUCAAUAACUGUUAGAAGUUCAAUAUAUCUCAUCAAAUAUUUUGCAUUUGUGUGGCAAAUGAUAUGUAUAUUUACAAAUGCGUACAUAUCACUUGGCCCAUUUAAUGAUAUGCACAAGCAGGUGUGAUCAGUGAAGUGCUACAUCCAGGGCGACAUUCCAAUUAAAUGUAAGCACUGUGGAUUCGCUUAGAAAAGUCUGAUUAUAUAGUGAAGGGGUUUCCACAUAUUAUAUAAGCAAUAUUAUAGAAAUAUUUAAAUUCUUAAAUCCCUCAAAUUAGUAGUAAAGACAAAAAUAUUGUCCUCUUUGAACCCUAGUAUGCUCAUAGCAUUGCAUAUAAACUCUCUAUUGCUGAUAGAAAGGCACAUACUAGUCCUGGAUCUAUGGAUGGAACAAGUGUUGUAACCGAUAAUGUGUAUGCUUUCCUUUGUUUUGCAUAUAAGAAAGCUCAGUUCUCUUCUGAACUCUUAAGCAAUACUGUGAUCUUAAACAUUUUAGUUUUAAUUUUUUACCACUAUUUCUACUUCAGUAUGUUUAAUUCAUUUAUAUUAUAUUCAAUUUUUUUUAAAAAAAAUAAGGAUGUUUGUAAGUAAAUAUAUACAUGCUGCUGCAGUUUCAACCUUAGUAAUAUAGAAUACUUGCCAAUGAAUGUAAUAUUUUGGCUCUGGACUCCAUUAACAACUUAAAAACUCACAUUGAAGCCUUAAUGUCCACUGCCUCAGAAUAAUUGUAUUUGGUGAUAGGGCCAUUAAAGAGGUGAUUAAGUUAGAAUGACACCAUUAGGGUGGACCUUAAUCCAGACUGACUGGUGUCAUUGUAAGAAGAGGGAAUUUAGACACAUGGAGCACCAGCAGGGUACACAUACAGGGAAGAUUGAGUGAGAACUCGGCCAGCGAGUGGACGUCUAAAAGCCACGAAGAGAGGCCUUAGAAGAAAUCAAUCCUGCUGACACCUCUGUCUCUUCCAGCAUUGUGAGUACAUGGAUUUACACUGUAUAAGUCACUCAGCCUGUGAUAUUUUGCUAUGACAGAAUUAGCAAACCAAUACAAAUUUUGGUAUAGGAAUGCUGCUCUAACAGGUAUCCAAAAAUGUGGGUGUGGCUUUGGAACUGGGUAAUCAGUAAGGGCUACAAGAAUUUUAGGUGCUUCUUAGGAAAACUUCAAUUGCCUUGAAGAGACCAUGUAGACAUGAAAGGUGCUUUUGGUGAAACUCAGAUGGAAAUGAGAAACCUGCUGGUGAAGCCGGAGGAAAGCAGUCCUCACUCUACAUUGGCAGAGAGCUGGGCUAUGUUGUUCUAGAGCUUUGUGAGGGGCAGAAAUUAAGUAUAAUGAACUUGUGUGUUUUACAAGGUAGAUUUUUAAGUCAGUGCUGAAGACAGGUUCUGGUUCCUCCUAGCUACACAUUGUAAAAGGCAAGAGGGAAAAUACUGAAGAAGGAAUUGUUCACUAAAAAGAAACCAAAAACUGAAGAUUUGGAAAAUUCUUAGGUCAUCAAUGUUGAAAAGAGAACAGAAGAAAAACAAAAAGAGAGAAAAGAAAACAUUCUGGAGAGACCACCAAGGGUGCUCAGGCAAUGAUUUGAUAAAGAGAUGGUGGCUAUGACCUUGGGGAACCAUUAGCCAUCUUGAGCCAGGAAUAGAGAUGUGCUGAGCCAGGAGACACUACCAAUUUGGAAUAAAAGGAGCAGAGACCAGACAAAUUGAAGAAAACCAUCAGACUGUGGAGACUCUAUAUAAAUGGGGCAAUGGAAUUCCCCAUCUGUGAACUUGCAUAGGCCUUUGAGAGUAAGGAGUGAUCCCAAAGGUAAUUCAGAGAUCAGCAGGCUCCCACUGCCAGCAGAGGCCCAGGAAUGACAAUUCUGGGGAGGGGUGGGACUGGAGCUGUCUCCUCCUGGUUUCUUAGGGGAGUGGGGCCACCUUCUCUGUGGUAGUGGGUCAGACACUCACCAUCUUUGGCUGGGAGGAAUGGGCUGGCACUACAGGGGGCCUGGAGGACUGAGUAUCAAAUCAAUGUAAAAUGCAAAGGAAUGUUUCCUGCUAGGUUUCAGACUUGCCAUUCUAUUUUGGAAGAAGAUAAUUUUUCUGGUUUCUUGGGUUCACAGGAAUUUUGCCUCAGGAUGAAUGUCACCUUGAGAAUCACCCUUGGUUGAUUAGACAAUGUUGUGGAUUUAGAGUGGAUACUGGAAUGGGUUAAGAAUUUUGGACUGUUGGAACGGGGUGACUGUUUUGCAUGCAAAAAAAAGCAUGAAUUUGAAGGACCAUUCAAAAAGCAAAACAAAACAAAAAAAAAAGAAAGAAAAAGAAAAAACAACACUCCAGUUUAUAAAAUUUGUGGAGAUUGAAAUAACUCUGGCUGAGUGUAUCCAAUUUUCUUUUCCCUUUUGGGCACUUGAGAAAAAUUUCUAGUUCUUACUUCGGGAGCAGGAGAUUAGCUCUAUCUAAAGAGCCAAGUGACAAUAGAGUAAGAAAUAGUGUAAAAGAAAGUGACGGCAGAAGAUAUAUCCUGCUAUGCUGAUAUACUUAAGAAAUUUCAGGUGAGAAAGAGCUAUCUCUGGAGCCAGUGUAAGCAUAGCACCUGCUAGAAGCAGCUAAGAAAAGAUGAGAAGGGUCGCCAAACCUGAAAAUCCACCUAUUCCUAACCGAAUGUGGGAUUCAGAGCUUGCAAUUAUUCUAUUUGGUGAAAGUGGACAGCACCCAGCCCGGAGAGGUUGUGACUUUGGUGCAAACAUUUCCAAUUUCCUGGAACUUGUUCAUUUAAAAUACAUGUUUAAUUUAUAACCCUGUCAAGUAUAGACUCAAAACAUACCCUGUUUGGAAGUACUUCUAUUAUACAUCUUUUUUUUUUCCCCUGAAGGGUAUUCAUUUUAUGAUUACACUACUUACUUUUUUAAAGUUAAACUUGCAUUUUGAGAUAAUCGUGAAUUUACAUGCAAUUGAAAAAAUAAAUUUGAGAUCAUGUAACCUUUACCUAGUUAUUUCAAAUGGUAAUUUCUUGCAAAACUGCAGUGCAAUAUCAAAAUCAGAAUAAUGACGUUGAUACAGUCAAGAUAGAAAACAUUUUCAUCAUCGCAAGGAUCCUUCCUGUCACCCUUUUAUGGCCACCCCCAUUGCCCUCCAACUUCACCCUCUCCUUACCCUAUAGCAACCUCUAAUCAGCUUUCCAUUUCUAUAAUUUUAUCUUUUCAAAAGUGUUACAUAAGUGGAAACAUGCAAUAUAUAAACUUUAGGGACUGGAUUUUUUUCUAAGAACGAUUAUCUGAAGAUUUUUCUAGAUUGUUAUGCAUAUAAAUGAUUCACUCACUUUUAUUGCUGAGCAGCAUUUCAUGUACCCAUGGCUGUAUCCCAGUUUGACCAUUUAAUCUUGGAGAUUUAUUUUUCCUAGUUUAACGUUAUUACUAAUAAACCAUUAUAAUCAGUUUUGUGCAUGUAUUUUUUGUGUGCAAGCCUCUUAUAUGAAUCUCAUUUUCUCCAAUAGAAUUUCAUGAAUACAAUUUGCUUGGUAACAUGGUAGUAGCAGAUUUAACUUUUAAUUAUUUGUUGUUCUUACUCAAUUUUUAGCAAACCAUCAAACUGUCUUCUAUUUUACACUUUUAUUUGCUGUGCAAAGUGAGUCAGUUUCUCUGCAUUCUCAUUAGUAUUACCUUACCACUUUUAAAAAAUUUUAAUUAUUCUGAUACAUGUGUGAUAUUUGUUUAUAGUUUGAAUUUACAUCUCCCUAAUGGUAAAUGAUGUUGAGCGUCUUUUCAUGUCUUACAUGCCACCUAUAAGUUUUCUUUACUUAAAUGCCUGUUCAUGUCUUUUAUCAUUGCUUAAGAAAUGGAAUUUUUGUUGUUGAUUUUUGAGAACACUUAUGUAUUAUUCUGGAUACUAUCUCUUUGUUAGGUAGGUUAUUGGCAAAUAUUUUUACCAACUCUUGAUCUUUCAUUUUCAUAUAAAUAAGGUUUUUACAUAGUUCAAAAUUUAAUUUACUAGUUUUAUUUUUGGAUAAUAUUUUGGAUCACAUUUUUGGGGUGAAGUCUUAGAAAUACUGCUAAAAUAUUUUUGAAGAUUUUCUUUUAAGUGUAGUCUAGAGGUUUUAUGGUUUCACGUUUGCUACUUAAGUCUAUUAUUUAUUGGAGAAAAAUGUUAUGUUAUAUAAAGUAUGAGACAUGGCAGGUUUUGCUUUAAAAAUCUCUAUUUGUUUAUUUAAGCUAUGUGUCUACAUCCUUCUGCCAAUGCCAUAUAUCUUAAUUUUUAUAGCUAUGUAAAAAUCUUUGUAAUAAGAAAGAUUGAUUUCUUCCAUUUUAUUUUUCCUCAAAAUUAUUCAGAAAUUUUAUUUUCUUUACUUUCUCAAAUAUAAUUCAGAAUAAUCCUGUCCAUAUUUACAAAAAUCUUGCUAAGAAAUGAGCUAACUGUACAUAUACAUGAAGAGAUUUGGCAUUUUUGCUGGUUUCCAGCCCAUAAAUAUGGUGAGUUCAUUUAUUUUGAUCUUUUGAUAUUUUUGUCAGCAUUUCAUAGUUUUCCUCAGAUAGACCCCAAAUAUAUAUUGCUCUAUUUAUAAUUUUUACAUUAUUUUGAGCAGUUAUAACCAAUAUAAUGAAUAUUAUGUAUUUAAUGUUGGUAUCUGUAUGUUCACUCUUACUAAAUAGAAAUGCAAUUAAAUUUUGUAUGCUUAUCUUAAAUCCCAUGACCUUUCUGACAUCAUUUAUUAGUUAUAGAAAUAUUUUUUAAGAGUUCUUGUGAUUUUCUUCUUGAUAUUCAUGCCAUUUGUAGUGGGAACAGUUUAACCUCUUUUUUUUUUAAAUUUUAAACCUGGUAUUUUGUUUUCUUGCUUGAUUGCAAUGCCUAGAACUUCUGCCACUAUGCCUAAUAAAAGUGAUGAAAGUGCAUGUUUUUACCCUAUUCUCAGUUAUAGAAGAAAAUCAUGCAAUUUAUUUUUAUUAAAUAUCCAGAAUGGGAAUGUCUAUCAAGACAGAAAGUCAAUUAGUUGUUGCCAGGGUCAUGGAAGGAGAGAGGGAUGGGAAUAUCUGUUAAUGGGGCAAUCAAAUUGAUAAAUUUCUUUACCUAUCUUUUUAUGAGAGUUUUUAGUACAAAUGGGUAUUGAACUAUGAACUAUGUCAAGUGCCUUUUCUGUACAGAUUGAUAUGUUCAUAUAAUUUUUUCCUUUGUCUUUUCCUACCAUUUACUGGUUUGGGGUUCAAAGCAAUACUAGCUUUAUAACAUUAAUUUGGAAGUGUUUCCUUAUUUUCUAAUUUUACCAGGAGAUUAUAGAAUUGCUUAAUUUUGCAUGAAACUUGUGGAAAAUUCUCUGGUGAAGUCACACAUGACAAUGCAUCUUUUUGGAAUUUCUUUAAUUAGAGAUUCAAUUUCUUGUCUCUCUAUCUCUCUCUGCUUCCUGGCCACCAUUAUGUGAGCAGCUUUCCUUCUGCCUACAAUCUCACCAUAGUGUUCUCCUUACCUCCAGCCCAAAGGGGUGGGAUGAGCCAACCAUAGACUAAACCUCUGAAACUGUACACCAAAAUAACCUUUUCUCCUCUAAAAUAACAAAAACAACAAAUUCAUUUCCUUUAAUAUUUACAGGGGUAUUCAGAUAAUCUGUUUCAUAUGAUGGAAAUUAUGGUUAGUUUUAGAAAAUGGUCCAUUUUAUGUUAGUUGUCAACUUUAUAUGAGUGAAGUUGUUCGUGGCAUUUUCAUAUUUUCCUUUUAAUGUGUUGAAUGAGAUGACAUGGUAGGGGUCAGAUUAAUUCAUUUCAUGAGUCAGAUAAGGGAGUCUCAAGUGUGUUUUCAGGAGCAGUUUCACUUCUCAGAAAAUAUUUUACCAAUUUGCUUGAGGAAGCUAUGGUGGGACAAUGGAGAAUGAGGUGGGAGGGUGAGUGGUAGUUAUGAUAGUAAUGAUAUUUUUCUACCCAUGUUCUUGGAACCUAACAAAGGAAGUCACUUCUUUGAGUCUCUUCACUGUACUUAAUCCUCUUGAUUUAACCUGCUUUGCAUGGUAUCCUUGAGCCUGAGGUCUUUCUGGCUCAGUUCACCUAUAGCAUGAACUCUCUAUUAGGCCAAGGUAUGAAUUUUUCUUGGUGUUGAAAAAGGGCUGUAGGUAUACUGGUAGAAUAACUAUCCCAUGCACAGUCUCAAUAAAUUUCCCUACUGGAGAUGGUUCUUUGAAAAAAUAAAUAAGAUUGACAAACCCUUAGCCAUUCUAACAAAAAGAAGGAGGGAGAAAACUCAAAUUACUAAAAUUUAUGAUGAAAAGGAAAUAUCACAGCAGACACCAUUGAAAUACAGAAGACAAUUAUGAACUAUUUUGAAAAUUUGUACUCUAAUAAAAUAGAAAAACUUGAAGACACCAACACAUUUUUAGAGGCAUAUGAUCAACCCAAACUGAGACAAGAUGACAUACACAAUUUAAGCAGAUCAGUUUCAAGCAAAGAAACUGAAGAUGCCAUCAAAAGCCCUGGACCAGACCGAUUCACAGCUGAGUUCUAUAAGACCUACAAAGAAGAAUUAAUAUCAAUACUUCUCAGUUUGUUCCAUAAAAUAGAAAAGGAAAGAACCCUUCCAAACUUGUUCUAGUAAGCUAGUAUCAUCCUGAUACCAAAAGCAGGCAGAGAAACAUCAAGAAAAAAAAAUUCAGACCAAUAUCCCUGAUGAACAUUAAUGCAAAAAUUCUCAAUAAAAUUCUGGCAAAUCAAUACAAAUACAUAUUUUAAAAAAUAGUGCACCAUGAUCAAGUGGGGUUCAUUCCAUGGAUGCAAGAUUGGUUCAACAUACCAAAAUCAAUAAAUAUAAUUCAUGACAUCAAUAGACUUAUAGAUAAGAAUCAUAUGAUUUUAACAAUUGAUGCAGAGAAAGCAUUUGACAAAAUAAAGCACCCUCUCAUGUUCAAAACAUUAGAAAAACUGGGGAUAUUAGGAACAUAUCUCAACAUUGUAAAGGUAUUUAUGCUAAACCCAAAGCAAAUAUUAUUCUAAAUGGAGAGAAAUUGGAAGCAUUUCCUCUAAAAACUGGAACAAGACAGGGAUGCCACUUCUAUUCAACAUAAUCCUUGAAACUCUUACCAGAGCAAUUAGAUAAAGAAAUUAGAUAAAAGAAAUUAAAAGGAUAGAAAUUGGAAAAGAAGAACUUAAACUAUCAUUAUUUGAUGAUGACAUGAUUCUGUACUUAGAGAUCCAAAACACUCCACCAGAAAACUUCUAGAAUAAUUAGUAAAUCCAGCAAAGUAGCAGGAUACAAAAUCAACAUCCAUAAAUCAAAUGCAUUUCUAUACAUCAGUAAUGAAAUCUCUAAAAUAGAAAUUAGGAGAACUACCCCAUUCACAAUAGCCUCAAAAAAAAAAUACUUAAGAAUCAACUUAACAAAAGAGGUGAAAAAAUCUGCAAUGAAAGCUAAAGAACACUAAAGAAAGAAAUUGAAGAAUACUUAGAAGAUGAAAAGAUCUCCCAUGCUCUUGGAUAAGCAAAAUUAAUAUUGUCCAAAUGGCCAUACCACCCAAAGCGCUAUACAGAUUCAAUGUGAUUCCAAUUAAAAUCCUAACAUCAUUCCUUAUAAAAAUAGGAAAACAAUCAUGAAAUUCAUUUGGAAAAAUAAGAGACCUAGAAUACCCAAAGCAAUCCCUAGCAAGAAGAGUGAAGCAGGAAGCAUCACAAUACCAGACCUUAAACUCUACUACAAUGCUAUAGUAACAAAAACAACAUGGUAUUGGAACCAAAAUAGACAUGUAGACCAAUGGUAUAGAAUAAAUGACACAGAAACAAACCCACAUAAAUACAGUUAUCUCACACUAGACAAAGGCACCAGAAGCAACCUAGAUGUCCUUCAAUAGAUGAGUAGAUAAAGAAACUAUACUAUAUACACAAUGGAAUACUACUCAGCAUUAAAAGAGAAUAAAAUUAUGGCAUUUUCAGGUAGAUGGAUGGAGCUGGAGAAUAUCAUGCAAAGUAAAGUAAGCCAAUCCCCAAAAAACAAAGGCUGAAUGUUAAGUGGAUGCUGAUCCAUAAUGGGGAAGGCAUGGGAAAAAAUGGAAAAUUCUCCAUUUACAAUAAUAUUGGCUUUGAGUUUAGCAUAAAUUUGGGCAAAGAGGAGGGACGGUGUGAGGGUGCAUGGACAGGAAAGAUGGUGGAAUGAGAUGGACAUCAUUACCCUAGGUACAUGUGUGACUGCACAUAUGGUGCGAUGCUACAUCGUGUACAACCAGAGAAAUGAAAAGUUGUUCUGCGAUUGUGUGCAAUGAAUCAAAAUGCAUUCUGCUGCCAUAUAUAUCUAAUUAAAAUAAAAAAAAUUAAUAAAAACACACAAAAACAAAUUCUCAUAUUGAAAAGCUCAUUAUUCACUCUCAUAUUUGAUGGCACAUUAUACUACUAGUUUUUGAAACACUCUGGUCUGUGACACAAAACAUCUUGCUCUUCAGUGGUUUUCCUCUGUACAGGUAUCUGGUGUUCUAUUUCUCUGCUUUGUUAUUUACUCCAUUCACUUCCAAUCUUUCCCAAACUCAUGGUCAGUUCUUAUUGUUUUACUUUGGUUUUGUUUUUUGCUGUUCUCUUCUCUUCCAUUUUCUUUGUUUUUGGAGUUCAUAGCUUUGUUUAGAAAAAGAGUACAGAUAAGACAUGCAUAUAUUCAGCCAUGGGUAGUUACACAUCUUUCAAAAUUAUUAAAACAGCACCAUUUGUUUGCUAUUCUUUGAUAUUCUAAGAUUAACAAUGCUGGCAGUAGAUUAGAAAGAAGGAACAAAGUAGGUGUGGUCUUCAGAGGACAUGUUCAGAAAUGCCUCAGUCUAGUCUGACUACCCCCAAAUUUCUGGAUUAGAAAAUCCUCUAUUGUGAUUCCUCCUUUAAUUGACCUAGACACUAAAAAACACAGGUUUUAAUCAAAACAGUGUGACUAAUUCCACCUUCUAGAUUUUUAUGACACAAACCAGAAGUCAUGUCAAACCCUCCCCCAGACCCCUUGUCAGUCAACACUAAGACAGGCUGAGUUUUCCUCUGUUCUGAAUCAGUCUACUUCUUACUUUCUCCAUAGCCAAGAGUGAGGUCCAAGUCACCUUCAUCUUUUCCUUAAAUUUCUGUCAAAGCUGUCUAACUGAAAUGGCUUUCCCUCUUUCCAUGUCUCUGGUCUUUAGAGCCAUCUUCUUUAUAUCAUGGAUGGAUUCGUGUCAUGGUCUUGGAGAAAUCAUUUUGAGUUGCCCAUUUUUCUUACUGAAAAGAUCCAAACCCUUCCCAUGGUCUGUAGGGACCUGUGUGGUUGGACUCAAUUGUUAUUUCUCAGUUCCAUCGGUCCCUCCACUGUGCUGAUCUUUUGAGUUCCUGCUGUUGCAAGCUCUUCCCGUCUCUACCUUCAGGGACUUAUUUUGCCUGGAAUUACUGCACCCUCAACAACUCAAUUCCUCACAUGCUUAGCAUUCAAGUCACUACUUAGUAGAGUGACUGGUCAGCUCCAGGAGAAAUCUUGAGACAUUUGCAGAAAUUGUUCAAAUCCCAUCUCUCUCUUUUGCAAGCUAUGUGACUGUUUCUGAGUCUCUUAUGAGCCCCCUGGGCAGGGGGCGGGUACCAAUUUGCUCUUCAUAGGUGGAUAUAUUCAAAUAAUGAUUGUAAAAUAUUCAUCACAGUGCCUUGAAAACAGGUUGUAUUCAAUAAAUAUUAGUUCAUUUCUUCUCUCUCUCUCUCUCUCUCUUUCCUCCUGGCAAACUAUCAAUAAUGAUUUGGAAAAGGAAGGAAAGUUUGGAGAAAAUUUAAUGCACAGUAACAGACCUCACAUUAAUACAAAUAGGCUGAUAAACAUUUUUUCUCUCACAGUUUAAUUAUACACUUUAAAAAUAAUUUCAAUAAAUGAAUGAGCUCUGAAACAAAUGACAAAAAGAAUCAUUUCUGAAAUUCUUACAAAUAUUUUUCUCAUUUUUUUUAAAUAAAAAAAUUCCUAAUCUAGUGUGCACCAUUUGCCAAGCAACAAGCCCUGGAGAUAUUAGAAGGUCCGUUAUCCAUAAAGGUGAGAUAGUCAAUGUAGAAGGGAAAUAGAAAAUGUUUAAUAAUAAUGGCAAUGCUAAGUGUUGGGUUUUACACAUAUAUAUAGCACUUUUUUCGGAGCAUUUUAUAAAUCAAGGAAAAUAAAAUAAGGUUCUCAGAUAUGGUAGAUUGGAAAAUUUUAUCUUGGAGAAAUCAAGUCUAAAUAUGGAUGCUUGAGGACUGGGGCCCAUUCUUUCAGAAGGCUUUUGUUUGACAGACUUGCCCUGAGCCUGACCCAAGGAGAAUUUCAAUUAGAAUUCCCCUUAGCAACCCCAAAGCCGGAGGCAACCCAUGGCAUACCACUCUCACAGGAGGUAUCGCCUUCAUGAUUCUUGGCCAAAAAAGAAUUCUUGUCAAGACAUCUUUCACUUCCUCCAAUAGCAUGAUAUUGCAUGCACAAUUGCAAAUAUUCUCAAACACUUUGGUCUUUUCCUCUACCUUUCAUUCAAGGAUGCCAUGGUGCAUCUGAUACUUCAAACAAUGUGCUGUCAAUCAAUAGCCUAAAAUUUGGACUUGCAUCAAUUACUUUAGAUUUGAUUUACUCACUUUUAAGAUAUGCAACAAUCUUUACUUAAUCAUACAACCAAAGUUAAAACACUAGACUGUGAGUUUUAUUCCAGCUCUAUUCCACAGUACCUAUGAUAUGCAAUAGGCAUGUUAUCCCUUCUCAGAAUAUCAAUUUGUGGUUCUUUGCAAACUGUAGAAUGACUAGGGUCUAUCAAUCAUAUUGAAUUUAUUUGGAUAGAAACCAUGUAUACACUAUAAUCUUUGUGCAUGAGAAAUUCUGCUUUUGAUUUUCUAUUUUAAAAAUCAUACUAUUUUAAUAGUACUUAAUCACUUUAUAUUUUCUUUUCUCUAACUUUGAAUUUAAGAUAUCCAAUUCCAAAGAAAGAAUGGAAUCCCCCCCCCAGGAUUAAAAAUUUGUUCUAUUAGUGUUUUGGGUAAUUUCCCAUCAUUGGACUUUAAGUAUGCAGAAAAUAUAACCUAAUUUUUAGUGUGUUGUAAAAAUCAGUUGAAGCUUGGUGUGGAGGUACAUGCCUGUAGUCCCAGCAGCUCAGGAGGCUGGGACAGUAGGAUCACAAGUUCAAAGCCAGCCUUAGCAACAGCAAGGUGCUAAGCAACUCACUGAGACACUGUCUCUGAAAAUAAAUGUGGCCAAGUGCCCCUGAGUUCAAUCCCCCAACAAUGCCAAAGUGGUGGAGGAUUAAAGAUACUGUGUCCUCAGGACCCCUUGAGAGGGCCUCAUGGCUCAGCCUUGGGGCAGAUAAGAUCUUGGAGAUGAUUCAGGGCAAUUUGCUUGUUAGCGUCCAUGUCUCUCUUAGUCUAGGGAUCUUAACAUGUUUUCUUCUUCUCCCUUAUUAUUUUCCCCUCUGUAGAGGGGGAAAGUACUAGUCAUACAACAUUUAUUGUCUAUAAUAAAAACACAAAUUAAAACAAAAAAACUCUUAGAGGCAGCAGAGAUGGUAAGGAUCUCCAUCAUUCAUACUUAUUUCUCAUGCUCUGUUUUUGAACAGACGAGAAGACGCAGUUCAGCAGAAAGGAGAGGCUGGGGAAAACCCUGCUCUGAGGUUGGGGCAGCGGCAGCAGAAAGCCGUGGGCUAAACUAAGCUGAAGUGAAAAACUGGGAGUGACAGAAAAUACUUGACGCAUCGAGAAAGUCACCCACCGAGUUAACAGGUGUUAUAUUCAAUUAAACAACAUGAUUAUAUUUCAUGAUAUUUUACAGAGAAUCAGGUCCCAACAGGAGUAGAUAUUAUAAAGGUGCUAGUCUGCAGUCAUUAGAUGUAUCCUCUCUGAGAACCAGAAUCUUGCUGGAGUCCCCAGAGAGCCCAACUGACUCAGAUCCCAAAAGUCUUCAGUUAGCCAAAGUGACUUCUUAAUUCAGGUCUUCAGAAAGAAAUACAAAUAAAUAAUUUGUGGAUAAUGGCAACUCACAUCAUUUAUCAACACAAACUAGUGGCAAACAGUGUCCUAGGCAAGUUCUACACCGAUCCUUACCACAGUCCUACAGAUCUAGAGGUGGAUGUGAUUCCCUCUAUUUCGUAGUUGAGGAAAUGGAAACCUAGAGAAUGUAAGCCACUUGUCUUACUGAAGCUAAAUGCAAAUUUCCAAAGUUAUGUCUGCAUGUAUACAUUCCACAUUCACACACAUCUUAAGGCUCAGGUAGGUGUCUUUAUAGGAGAUGGCUUGUGAUUAAUUUACACUAGAGAUAUCAAGGAAAUGCAAUUUAGCUUCAGGUUCACUAUAAUUUUUUGUACAUCUAUAUUCUAAAGUCGGUUCUGGGCUUUGCACAGGGAAAAACAUAUAUGGAUUACAAAAGAUUUCAACUUUGAGGUUAAAGAUGGAUGUGAAUAUACAUUUUUUUUUUUUAUUUAAGGGGUUGAACCCAGGCUGCUUAACCACUGAGCCACAUCCUCAACCCUUCUAUUAAGUAUUUUUGAGAUAAGUUUUUCUAGGGCCUCACUAGGUUGCUGAGGCUGGCCUUGAACUUGCAAUCCUCCUGCCUCAGCCUCUUGAAUUUGCUGGGAUUACAGGAGUGUGCCACCAUGCCAUAUUUGUAUGAUUUCAUCUGAGUGCAAAAACUUCAUGAGAGAAGUCUGGGUCUGGCCUUGGAUGGUCUGUGACCUUCUGCAUCAUUCCUGGGACGUGUGCCUUGGUCAUUUCUGUGUGGCAGGCUUCCAGUCUCACAGGUUGUUAAUGAAUUGAGUACUUCUAACUGUACUGGAGGUAAAUCCAGGGGACCAGAGCUGACGGACAUUUCCUUCUGUCUCAGGGAUUUUUAUGACUCUAUGUGUAUAAUUUACUCAAUUUAUUCCAGUCUUUAAAGUUGUCUACAUCAUCAGUUAUUCUGUCAUAGUGUCUCCCAUUUGUUUUCUUUUACUAUUUCACAAAUCCAUAAAAAUGCUAGUGGUAAGGACUUCCCUUCUCUCUGCCCAGGAUCAAACCUGCUGCCAAUACCCACUGCCCCCUCCACAUCAGGGUAGUGGCAAGUAUUUCCAGGAUAUCCUUUGUUUUGCUCAGAUAGGACAACUUUUAUCGGAAAUAGAUUUCCUCAAUUCUCUUAGAAGCCCCAAGUCUGCUAUCAAAUAUCUCCCAGGGCAGUAAUUCAAGUUAAGAAUUAUCUUCUGCAGCCUUCCUGAGAUCUUGCUAAUUUACUGUUUCAGGCCCAUCUAUCUCUGAAAUAGAAGAGCAGGAUUAUGUAGUUAAAUACGCUUUUUCUUGCUUUCUUACAAGUUACUAAAUGUGAACCAUUUGAUCAAUUGGAAAACAAAGAAAAGAAAGGCAAGUGUGUUUUUUAUAUUUUCUAAGUAAAUAAAAUUUGGAAGAAGAGAUUAUUCAUUGCAGUUGUCUCUUUAAAAAAGGAUUUUCCUUGAAGAGUUCCUUGGAGUGUACAUGUAUGUAUUUUAUCUCUCAUUUGAAAUCUGGGUUCUGACUUGGUAACAAUUUGCUGAGCUUACUGGGGAGGGCAUUUGAACUCUCUUGGUCUGAGUAAACCCAUUUUUUUACAAUGGGGGUCAGGAGAAGGGCUCUUUUAAGUUUUAUCUCAGCUUUAACAUUUGGUGAUUCUAUUGUUUGAAAUUAAGGAUCAUUUCUUACAAAUUUUUCUGAAAGUUCCAACCUGCCCUGAACCAGUCCUUAGUCAGUAGAGACUAGAUACAAAUAAAUAAAGAUUUGUAGGCUUACAAAAUCUCAGAGUUCAAAGGGACUGUCAAGGUCACAGAGCCCAACCCCCUAUGGAAAUACCUGAAUACCUUCUACAACAUCUCCACCAAGUGGCCAACCCUCUGCAGGUGAGCGCCUGUCAGGCCUCACUACCUCCAGAGUGAACCAGUUCUUUUCUGUGGCUAUUGUGAUUUUUUUUUCCUAGUUGUUCCAAAUGCUCUGCCUCACAUUUUUCUCUCCUGUGCCUAAAUUUCACUAGUUAAGACUUAGAACAAUCCUAUAGAUACUUGAAAAUGAUGCUGCAAAUAUCCUCAUCUCCAGGACAAACAACCCCAUUCUCAAAGCAUUCCUGUUGUAAAAUGUCCACAGCAUGUUCCGAUUCCAACCACUUUUGUCUUGAUUUGGCCCAGACUAUCAGUGUUCAUUCUAAUGGACUGCAGGACCAAUCAAGUGUCCUCUGUCAUUUUGGGUGAUAGAAUUUUGAAGUUGACUUUCAGAAAGAACAAAAGAGAAGCUGACAGGAGAUUGUUACUGUAAUCUCUGAACAACAACAACAAAAAUAAAGGAACCUUAGCAAAGAUGGAGGCAGAAUUCUAAUGUUGAUUAGAUAUUUUGGUUUUUGGCUUCAAAGCAUUAUUGCAAAUAAGGUCUUCACCGAGUUCUUCCCAGUUCAUGGUUUAAGUUACUUGUACAAAACUGGUAUCUGAAAGGCCAAGGAUUCCAAACAGUUUUUCAGGUUCAAAACCCCCACAACAUCCCUGGUAUGAAAGGGAAAUUUUAGAUACAUUAUAUGAUAAAAACUAAUUUUGCAAAUAAGUGGAUGGAGUGAGGAAAAUGGCCCCCUAAUUGUUUUUCAAAAACUGCUUUUGAAACUCUGCAGAGAACAGCUCCCCAGAUAGUGGCCACCAUACAAAAAGGCCAGAGAAUGGCAAAAGGAUUUCAUGCCCUUUUAUGGAAGUGAAAAUGAGUUCUGUAUGUUGGUGUGUGGUCAUUUUUCUCCAAGGUUAGUUCCAUCCUUCCCACAAGGAACCUUAGAGAAGGGAUUUUCAGGUCAGUGGGUAACGUCAAUGAGCUCUGUGGAGGUAAUCCACAUGAGUAGUCCAUAGCCACUCCAGGUCCUGGACAGUCACACAUAUCUCUACAUUUGGCUAAGUCUCAAUUAUUUUUUUUGUUGGAGAACAUUACACUUAAAUGAGCUUUAUUUAGAGCAUCAAUUUCUCACCACACACAGCAAAGCCCCCAUGCUCCAAGCCUGUCUACUAUUGGUCUAUGACAGGUCUAUUGUUUUAAAAGCACUAGGCUUACCAGGAGGAAGGGUUCUGCUCAAUAUGGUCAAUGACAUGGUCAAACUUCACCACAAGAGCUCUUAAAGUUCUCCAAGGAAGGAAAGUUGGAGUGUUUAACUCUGCCCUGCUGUCUUCAGAACAGGGUUUGAUGACUUCCCAAGGUCAUAGUAAGAAGGUGGCUGGACUGGGAAAGCCUUUGUGGACUUUGAGAUGCUGCUUAAAGGAACAGGCCGAUGCAGAUGGAAUGUUCUAAGCAUCCCAUCUGGCCUCACCACAGCCCUCAAUGCACUGCAGUCUGUGUUCUUGUCUAGACUUUAAUCCUCAGAUUCCUCUAAGGCAUUGACAAGUGUCGUAAAUUUGUGAGCCAGGAUAGGUGUAAGACAAAAGAAAAAGUUACUUGGAUUGUUAGCCAUUGGUCCUGCUUAGUUACACUUUAUGCAUGUAAGAGCCCCACCCCCAAAAAUAUUAUCCAAUAAACAAAAAUGGGGCCCUUAGGUCUCCCAUUAGUGUACCAUUUCAAGGCAAAUUUCCCUUCCCAAUGUCAUCCAUCACUAAACACAUAUCCUUCUGCAUCUCUGCCAGACAGACCAUGUGAUUGUGCUCACCACAUAGGGAAACAGAAGGGGUGGGGUUGGAGAAGGCAGGUCUGAAUUAAGAGCCACUUCUAAAUCAUAUGAUAUUAUCUAUUUCUGUGUUUGGACUUCAUAAUAACUGCUACCUUGAAAAGUUGCUGAGGCUUACACAUAAUGUGCAUCACAUACUAUACAUCACACAAUACACGCCAUAUUUCACCCACAUUGAAUAAGCCAUCAAUAAACAAAAGAUAACUCUGACCACAAAUGCUUCCACUAAUAGCAUAUCUACUUCUGUGGCAAGGGAAGAUAAUGUGAUCAAGACUUUGAGUGUGGAACAUUCCAUAGUUUCUGAAUGAGACAAUGCAUGUUUCAUUCACCAUUGAUCUGAACCAUCAAAACAUUCAAGGGUACAAGCUGCAAUGUCUGCAUCAUGCCUGGACAUAAUCCCUUACACACACACACACACACACACACGAACAAUCUGAAAUGCCAUCAUUUAUGGCUGCCCUCAUGACCUGGAGACUGGAAAUCACUCCUGUAGACCUCUCUAAGGCCCCUCUAAAACUUCACAUACAGCUGGUAUUCUUAGCAUCUACCCUUGCAUCAGUAAGAGUUUGUGAUGCUCAAAUGAACCGAGUUGCUAAAAGUGGAGGUAGGGGAGGAGAAAAGGGCUGACUCCUGUAAGGUGUUAAUGACAAGGAGGAGAUGUGGUUACUGGAUAUCAGGGGCAGUUUUGAACAGCACGAGGGGGCUUGCAGGUGAUCCUUCCUGUGGAAACAGGGUGACUCUUUGUGGUGAGUCACCUGUCUGGGGUUCCCCCAAGUCAUAAACACCAGACGAACCUAGGAGCCUUUGAAUAGCAAGGCUUUAUGGGAGUGUGGACCCAGAGUCCUGACCCCUGCAUGCCGGUCUUACUGCUGCCACUUGCUCUUUUGCUGUGAGGUUCUGGACACCAGAUAGUCCCUCUUGGAGUCUGUCCUCCUAGGUCCAUUGGACUGUGUGGGUGUGUUUGAGGGUGAGCUUAUUUACACUGACAGCUCUGCACUGACAGAGAGAACAGACAGUGAGAAUGGGAGAGGGGAUGAGAUGGGGUAGUCAGGCCAGUGUCAGGGAACCCUGACCCAGCUCCUUCCUUCUGUGUCAGCUACUAAACUUGGACUAAAGGCACUGAACAAAAAUGCUCCCUGUAGUUUAGACAGAGAGGCAAUUCUGAAAAUAGCCCACAGCACCCUCUGAAAAUAUUAUGGUAAAUUCCAAAACAAAGAGAAGCCAAAAUCCUGAGCACUGUACAUUUGACCCAUGGCAAAGGGGAACCUAGAGACUGCUGGAAGAUUCUGGGGGUCACUCCUCUGCUCUUUCAGGCAGAGAGAGAGAGACAAAGAGAGAGAUACAGAGACACACAAAGAGACAGAGAGAUGGGAGGGGAAAGACCAGGGACAAGAUAUAGACUCCAAGAGCAUGCUCCCAAGGACCCACUCCCCUCAAUUAUGUCCCACCUCCUACAGUUUCCUGAACCUCCCAGGAGUCCUUUCAGCUAUGAAUCCCUUAAUGGAUUAAUCCACUGAUGAGGUCAAAACCCCCAUGAUCUAGUUGUAUUCCCAAAGCCCUCUCACUGAACAUUGCUGCACUGAGGAUCAAGUCUUUAACACAUGAGCCUUUGGGAAGCCUUUGGAGAUCCAACAUAACAUAAAGAAAUCCAUUUAAGUAAGGGGAUCAAGACAUACUCUUAAACAACAACAACAACGCAGUGGCAACUUAAUAAGAUUCUGAAACUUCUAAAGUUUCCAAAUCCAAGAGUUUUAUUUCUUGCCUUCAUCCUAACAAUGAUUAAAGAAGACAAUGAUAAUGGUGAUGGUGACAGUGAUAGCAACUAGACUCCUGAUGAGGAUAGUAAUCCUAUUAACUAAGAUUUAUUAAUCUGUAACUAUGUGCAGGGAACUUGGCAUGCAGGGAUAGUUCUCUUGUGCCAGUUUUACAGCUAAGAGAAUUGAGACACUGGCUUGGCUAAGAUCAGACAAUUUUACAAAAGGAGGAACCUUGUUAAACCCAGAAUCUGAGCUCUUAACUGUUCAGCCUGCCCUCUGAUUGCUUCUUGACCUUACAUCGUUUGGUAUUGUGUGCUUUUUUGCAAGAGAAGUAGAAAAUGGGUUGCUGGCAUGGAUGCACUGUUCUCCAACAGAAAUGCCUUACUGGAGAAGUUAGGGGUGCCAGGUAUGAAGAGGACGGCAAAACAAAUGAAAUUUCUGGGGUCAGCCAGGAAACUAAUGCAUCCUUGAGAGCAGAGUGGUGACUAAGUGACCCAGGCAAGUGGAAUGAAUCUGGCUGCUAUAGAACAGCACAAAAGACAGCUAUUAAUAAAAAGAAGUGAUCUGGAUGGCUUAUCCCUAUCCACUGGCCCACCCAACUCCCAGAAAGGCAAAGAGAGAAAAGAAAAUUCUGGAAUGACUUCUGUUGGUGAUCUUAAAUCUUCAGGGUUGACAGCUCCCCUUUCCCUUAAGAGGCAUUUCCUAGCCUUACCCACUCUUUGUGGAAUUCAGAGAGUGAUUUUUAAAAAAUAAACUAGCCAUUUUCAGAAGCUGCAAAUAUUGAUAUUUACAAAGUAUCUUUCUCCUCUUGCUCAGUUGCAGAUGAAUUUGCACUGUGGAACUACUGGGGAAGGAAGACUCCCUUUUGUCCAGAUCAAGCAAAGAACUAGAGAGCCUUUAAACUUUCUUCUCUGUGCCUGGUCCUGUUCCACAUGUUCUCUCUGAAAAUUGCGUAGGGAACAGCUUGCAAAUUCCUGACAUCACGUCCAUUUCUUGACAUCUCUGAAGACUCACUUAAUGAGGUUCCCGCCAAAAAUUGAGGUUGAUCUAUAACUUGAAGAUGUUAGAAACAGAGAGUUUGGGGCACUUUGGGCUUUGGGGUUUUCUUAGCUAAAGUGCUAUAUAUAGUUGCUGCUUUUAAGUCCUGUCUACCCUGAAACACAGCUUCCUGCUUUCUUUGAAAAAGUGCUUGCGUGUGUGAGCAGGGGCCAGCCAUCAGAAAGGCCUGCCUCGAGAUCAGCAGGGUUUGCCUUUGAGAAAGCCACCAGCAUGACUGAGCUACUGUUGGAGGAAAUGGAAUCUUUUCCCUUUUUUCCACUUUCCUUGUUUAGCCCACUCCCCCUUCCCACUCCCACAGUCCUUUCUUUCUUUCUCUGAAUUACUAUUAUAAUAAGGUUAUAGAAUGCCACCCCUUAGUGUGAAUAUGGAAUCAGCACCUGACCUUCCCUAUGGCUCCUAUUGAGGUUCAGUGUUGAACAGUUACAUUUUCAUGGGUUUUGAAUGAAGAUGUGCAGAGAGAGAACGCUGGGCUUGAUGACAGAGGAAAGAGACCUCAUAUUCCAACAUGACACUGGAGCUUUGUGAUCUUGGCCAGCUGACUUUUGUUUCCCUAUCUGUACCUGGGCCAUGGGAACUUUGAAAAGAUACAUAAGAGUUUUAACAGCAGGUCACUGGUUGGUUACUGAGCAUCAACAAAAUUUAUUCUACAUACACUGAAUGCUGAGUAGGGAUUUAUUCCUGCAAAUACCAAAGUCACAACUUUUCCAUGUACUUUUUCAGAAUGCGUAAUUUGCAUGGGUGACAAAUAAGUUCUGAAAAUACCUGAAAAAAAAUUUUAACUCAAGUUCCUUUCUUUUAAAUAAGGUAUUGGUGAUGUUAACUUUGAUGACUCAAAGUUAAGGUGUGGUUGUCAGACUUCUCCUUUGCAAAGUCACUAUUUUUCCAUUUGCAAUUAUUAAAUAAUGUAUAGAGAAAACAUGACCCAAAAUUGGGUGAACUGACACCACGUAACUCCUAAUGAGAUGACCUGACAUCAUUUCAAUGGUUUUUCUGCCCAAUGUGCAUAAAGAGAAUCUUAUCACUAGAAAAUAUUAGGCAAAACUCAAAAGGAGGAUGUAUCUACAAAAUUAGUGAGUGGUUUUCUUGGAAAGUGUCAGGAUUAUGAAAUCAGAAGGGCUGAGGAAUCAUCUCCAAGUAAGACUAAGACACAGCAUUGAACUGCAGCAUGUGACCUAAGUUAGAUCCAGGAGCAGGAAAUGUUGCUUAUGAUCCAUUGGUUAAUUAAAUAUCUUAGUGCCAAUGUUAAAAUGAAAAUCAACAUCUUCUCAUUCUUAUGGGAACAUUCUUCCUCUUAGGAAAUAGCCUAGAAAGUAUUUAGGGAUAAAGAAGCAAGAUGUCUGCAGUGUAUUGUCACCAGUUACAGGAAAAAAAAAAGAAAAAAGAAAAAGACAAAAGAAGAGUAUAUAUAAGGGAAAGAGAGAUAAUGGUAAAGUAAAUAUGGAAAAAUGCUAAUAACUAAUAGCUCUGAAUGAAGGGUAAAUAAGAGUUUUCUUUGUGUGUGAUUCUUCCAAGCUUUGUGUAAAUUCAAAUUAUUUAAAAAAAAAUGGAACAAUCAAAUGGAAACUAAUACUUUAGGAGAGAGAAGGAACCAAACUGCAAAGUCAGAUUGCUAUGUUUCUCAAGAGUUCAAAGAAAUCCUGCAUGGUUUCCAUGAAUUGCCUUGGCUAAUACACUUACUGUAUCACUGAGUUAAUCCUCACAUGAUCACUAUAAUUACAGCUUCUAUCACAGCUGGUGACUGGGGUAGGGAGGAAUUCCAGAGAAGAUUCAAGCACUAUUUGAACUCUUUCCUAUAAUGUUUUGAACAAAAUUGCCAAAGAAGACCCAUUGAUUAGCAUAUAGCUAAUCAGGAUUUAUUGGGCCUUAUGUUUCAGUGUCAGGCUAGGCUCUGAAACACAGUAUCCAAUAGUGUCUGUCUCUUCACUCAGAGUUUAUAGUUCAGAUUGGGAGACAGUCAUGCCAUAGGUAGCAACUGUCCAGAGGGGUGGAUACUGCAGCAGAGAGACAUAGGAUGCUAUUAAGAAAGAAGAAAUGGGGAAAGUAACAAGUCAUCAUAAAGAGAUUGCAUUGCUAUAUGAAGAGAACUAUAGCAGAAGGAAAAGGACCUUUUAGAUGGAAAGAAACACUGUGGUCUAUGCAAUCACAGUAUAUUUACAGAAGUAAAUCACUUUGUGUCGACUGAAUCUACAAUGCAGUGGGAUGAAAGAAGAAAAUAUUGGAAAGAGCUUUUAUCAAAAGGUUCCCCUAGACUAGUCCAAGCUAGAAAGUCUGGACUGCUUUCAGUAUUCUCUUUAUGAUCCAGUACCAGGAAUCUGAGUCUCCCAAGUCUUGUGGUUGAUGGUCCCUAGUCACCAUUUUUUUAAAAAUUUUUUAUUGUUGGUUAUUCAAAACAUUACAUAGUUCUUGAUAUAUCAUAUUUCACCCUUUGAUUCAAGUGGGUUAUGAGCUCCCAUUUUUAUCCCAUAUACAGAUUGCAGAAUCACAUCAGUUACACAUCCAUUGAUUUACAUAUUGCCAUACUAGUGUCUGUUGUGUUCUGCUGCCUUUCCUAUCCUCUACUAUUCCCCCCUCCCCUCCCCUCCCCUCCCCUCUUCUCUCUCUGCCCCCUCUACUGUCAUUCAUUUGUCCCCCUUGUAUUAUUUUUCCCUUUCCCCUCACUUCCUCUUGUAUGUACUUUUGUAUAACCCUGAGGGUCUCCUUGCAUUUCCAUGCAAUUUCCCUUCUCUCUCCCUUUCCCUCCCACCUCUCAUCCCUGUUUAAUGUUAAUCUUCUUCUCAUGCUCUUCAACCCUACUCUGUUCUUAGUUACUCUCCUUAUAUCAAAGAAGACAUUUGGCAUUUGUUUUUUAGGGAUAGGCUAGCUUCACUUAGCAUAAUCUGCUCUAAUGCCAUCCAUUUCCCUGCAAAUUCUAUGAUUUUGUCAUUUUUUAAUGCAGAGUAAUACUCCAUUGUGUAUAAAUGCCACAUUUUUUUUAUCCAUUCGUCUAUUGAAGGGCAUCUAGGUUGGUUCCACAGUCUUGCUAUUGUGAAUUGUGCUGCUAUGAACAUCGAUGUAGCAGUGUCCCUGUAGCAUGCUCUUUUUAGGUCUUUAGGGAAUAGACCGAGAAGGGGAAUAGCUGGGUCAAAUGGUGGCUCCAUUCCCAGCUUUCCAAGAAAUCUCCAUACUGCUUUCCAAAUUGGCUGCACCAAUUUGCAGUCCCACCAGCAAUGUACAAGUGUACCCUUUUCCCCACAUCCUCGCCAGCACUUGUUGUUGUUUGACUUCAUAAUGGCUGCCAAUCUUACUGGAGUGAGAUGGUAUCUUAGGGUGGUUUUGAUUUGCAUUUCUCUGACUGCUAGAGAUGGUGAGCAUUUUUUCAUGUACUUGUUGAUUGAUUGUAUGUCCUCCUCUGAGAAGUGUCUGUUCAGGUCCUUGGCCCAUUUGUUGAUUGGGUUGUUUGUUCUCUUAUUGUCUAAUUUUUUGAGUUCUUUGUAUACUCUGGAUAUUAGGGCUCUAUCUGAAGUGUGAGGAGUAAAGAUUUGUUCCCAGGAUGUAGGCUCUCUAUUUACCUCUCUUAUUGUUUCUUUUGCUGAGAAAAAACUUUUUAGUUUGAGUAAGUCCCAUUUGUUGAUUCUAGUUAUUAACUUUUGUGCUAUGGGUGUCCUAUUGAGGAAUUUGGAGCCCGACCCCACAGUAUGUAGAUCGUAGCCAACUUUUUCUUCUAUCAGACGGCGUGUCUCUGAUUUGAUAUCAAGCUCCUUGAUCCAUUUUGAAUUAACUUUUGUGCAUGGCGAGAGAAAGGGAUUCAGUUUCAUUUUGUUGCAUAUGGAUUUCCAGUUUUCCCAGCACCAUUUGUUGAAGAUGCUAUCCUUCCUCCAUUGCAUGCUUUUAGCCCCUUUAUCAAAUAUAAGAUAGUUGUAGUUUUGUGGAUUGGUUUCUGUGUCCUCUAUUCUGUACCAUUGGUCCACCCGCCUGUUUUGGUACCAGUACCAUGCUGUUUUUGUUACUAUUGCUCUGUAGUAUAGUUUGAAGUCUGGUAUCGCUAUACCGCCUGAUUCACACUUCCUGCUUAGCAUUGUUUUUGCUAUUCUGGGUCUUUUAUUUUUCCAUNGGUUUUUGAGAGCAAUGACACUACCUUGCUCACAAUUGUGACAUUUCACACUCACAACUGUGCUCAGCAAUCAUAGGAGCUCAAGAGGUAUCUGUUAGUGAUUUUGACUGAAAAGCAUUCUAAACAAAAAUUAAACGAUAUUAUAAUAGAAAUAAAUUGAAACUUUCCUGAAUAUUUUAGCUAACAUACAGGUUUUGUGAAGACAAGAGCUACUUGAAUAAGCACAUGAAAGAUACCUCUCAUGCACAAAUUGGUUUUCUCUAGCCACUACACUGAAUAUCUAAAGUAAAACAUGAAAUCUCCAAGCUUGGGGAUACAUAUACUCUAAAGGCUGUCAUUUCCUUGCUGAGUUUGAAAAACCUUCUGAGAAUUGAUGGGCCAAUAACUCAGAACUGCCUGAACAGCUCAAAUGCAGGUCAAGACAACCUAUUUUAUCCCUGGACAGAAGAGCAAGCCACACUGUCCCUCCAAGGACUACCACAUCUUCAUUAUUGUUGAGAAUACACUGGAUCUUAGGACAGGGUCAGCACACCAUGGUCCAAAGGUCAAAUCCAAUCCACCACCUGUCUUUAAUGCUUUUUAAAAAUACUUGGGAAAAUAAAAGAAGAAUAUUUCAUGACAUUAAAAAAUUUUAAUGAAAUUCAGAUAAUGGUCAUUAUAAAGUUAGCCACACCUGUUUGUUUAUACUUCAUGGAGACUGCCUUCUCUACAGUGUAGAGUUGAAUAGUUGCAAUAGAGACCAUAUGACCCAGAGAACUGAUAUAAUUGCUGUUUGGCCUUUUUCAGAAAAAAAAUUCAGACUGCUGUUUUGCAGAAUGCAGAAAGAAGAAAUGUCCCCACCUUUGAGCCUGGGCUUAAAGGCUCUGUUGUUAUUUUAAAGAUUAUUAUGCCAUCUGCAAAAUUCUCAUCUUAUUGUAAUUUUUUGACUUAGGGUUCUCAAGUCUUUCUGCAGGUCUAUUUAACUCUAAAGAGCAUUCAUGCCUGUAUGGAAGGGUAAAUUCAUAAUCAUAAAGUAUAAUUCAUGAAUUUAUGUGUGUACAUGUUUGAUGUGCAUGUUUGCAUGCUACAGUUAGAACUCUAUGUGCAGAUCUGUAUUGACAAAUGAAGUGAAAUGUAAGAUGCUACCAUUUUACAUGUGCAUGAGUUAUUGUGUUCAUUCAUGAUCAAGCUUGGAUAAAAGGAAAGAUUAUACUGUCAAAACCAUUUUGUUUUUUAAUAGAUAACCAGAUGCUUAUAUAUUUAAUGUGAUGCCUGCAGUUACAUAUUCAUUGUUACAGAUAAUUUCUUAAGUAAAUUAGCCUGUGUAUGGCCUAUUUUCCUUUUGAGUAUUUUAUGUCACUCUUCUUUUCAUAUUAUUCAUGUGAUGCUAGCUUUUUCUGCAUGUAUAGAAGUAAAAAUAAGUUCAUUUCUGAGCCAACUUUUACAAGUUAUUUGAAUCAUGGACUUAUACUAUGUGUCUUCUUUAUUAAGACAUUAACUUUGUCAAAUUUCACAGAAUUUUUCCAAAAAUAGGGCAAGGUUCCUAUUUCAAUAGGCUUGCAGGAGGAAGCCAGUCUGGCCCUGAGAAAUGACUCAGAAGCCAAAUGGUUCUGUAAAGGAAUAUAGACCUUCUACCUUAAUAGAGUGUGGGGGGCUGAGGGCCAGCGACUUGCAAUUCCAUCAUGGGACUGCCAGUUCUCACAAAUAAGGAAGGAGGUGGGCAGUGGGGUAGAAGGAGGACCAGGAGGAACAUGGUGCUUGCCUCACUCCUGUUUGGUUCCUAACCAACAUUGGAACUUGGUCAAAGAUGCUUUACUUCUUGAUCUUCAAUUUCCCCACAUUAAAAAUGAAAAGGCUAGUUUAAUCUAGUUUUUAUAUUUUAAAAGCAGUUGACUCUGAUAAAAUAAAAUCCCUAGUACAAACAAAAAAAAAUAGGACUAAUGGAGUGGAGCUCAUAUGCAUGAGGUGAGGAAGCACUGGACCAUCCUGUGACCCUGCCUCAAGCUGAGUGCUCUGCAUCCUAGCAGGAGAGUUGCAGGAUUGUUUUGUAAGUCACCUUUUCUGGAGCCACAGAACCUGUGAUUCUGUGGAUAGGCUGCUAGGUGCAUGACUCGUUUUUCCCCUGCUACAUUAGAUUGGCUGAAAAAUCAUGUGUUUUCAUAAAUGAUCAGGUUUCCUUGCUGCAGCACUAUCUUCAUUAUUGUGUGUCAGACAAAUCCUGUGCACACAGACAGAGGCUCAGUCAUCUCAACCCCAUGCACUGACAUGAGUCAAUAGAGACGCAAUGAUUACCAAAGGGUCAUGCGUCUUACUCUCCAGUUUCACACCUGUCUUCCCUUUUAUAUCUGAGUUCUUUGAGGGAGGGGUCUAUAUUUUAUUCUGUUCCCAGUGCCCAGUUCCAUACUCAGUAAUAAAAAAUGUGGUGACAGUUUUCAAUAAAUGAACACACAAUGAGCAGUUCUAAACUUGUUAAAUAUUGAGUUUUAAAUGGGUGCAUGACUGGUGAGAGGUUAAUUUGGAGUUAAACCUAUCCAUUGGAUAAUCAAAUAUUGAAAGCAUCUGGCCAUUUGGCAAGCUGAAUUCUCACCCCUGCAUUAAAUUCACUUGUCACCGAGUGUGUCUGUCUAUAAGUCUCAGUCCCAGAGACAUGAACCACACAAUCACUACAUAUUCUCUUAAUGCUGACUUUCUAUGAGGCCAUUGUUAAGUUGACUCAGAAAAUGACCUCAUGAAGGUUUUUGUCAAAAAUUAUUCAAGUAAUUACUGUAAAUCUCUACAUCACGAAUCUUUCCAUCUGUACACUCCAAGCAUUCUCCUGGCACAGCUCCCCAAAGACUUAUUAGAGUAACUGAAAUUAGGCAACUUCACAUACUGAUCCAUUUUUGUGCACCAACCAAAUAAGUUCCCUACUUUGGUAUGUGGACUUGGAUUUCUUCUUCUGUGAACACUGACAUGUAUCACACACAUGCGUACACAUACACACACACACACAUGUAUGUUGACACCUGAUGACUCCUGUGACCUCAAGCUAUUGGUGGAGUCUUCCCUGGUAAAUUGCAUCACUGUGGGAGAGUCGGAGAAUUAUUAUACAAAAUUCUACAAUUUUCUCAAAGAAAGUGUGCUAAAUGGAAAGUACCAGUCAAGGCAAACACCAAAGCCUGCUGUCUGUAAUAUAGCAUCAUCAUCAAUUUCACACCAAAUCCCAAAUGUGCAAAGAAAUGGAAGAUUUCUCAUUUUUGGAAAACUCAUGUCAGGUUGAUUCUGAGUCCUAAAUCUUCUGGAUCAGAAGAAAAAACAUGCCAGCACAUGACACAUUAGUUGUUUACAAUACAAAUUGGAUUCCUAAGAGUUUAAAAGAAAAAUUGGAGACAGGGGAGGUAAGCAGUGAAUAUUUCACAUUUCCUUAUACUCCCCCUUCUUCUCUCCCAGGUGGCACUCAGAAAACCAGAACGGAGAGGGAGAAAGCCUUCUUGAACCUCUGAGGAACCCAGGCAUAGGUCUCUGCUCCACCGUCCAGUCCUUGCUGGCUUUAACAGAGAUGAUGCCUGUUUUCCAACUCGUCAUUAUUUGCUUGGACUGAAUUCACUGCAAAACAAAUAUUCUGGUAAGCUUCAUUAUUCUUGGGCAGCAUCCCAGCUAAAUUUAAUUCCCAGCAGAGUCACUUACUAACUAUGCAAUUUUGAUCAAGUUAUGUGUCUUGUCCUCAGUUGUUUCCUUCUAUAAAAUGAAGAUUUUUUUGAGGGUUCAAUGAGAUAAGACAUGUUCAGGAUUUGGCAAGCAUCAAGCACUGAAUAAAUAUGAAGAACUACUAUUAUUUGAAAUUGCGCACUAGGCACAGCCAGCCGGAAAUUUAAAGACACAGAGGAACAGGACAGCUUGUUAGCUACUAUUAUUAAUUUUAGUAGAGAGUUCAGUUUUUCUAGUGUCAAGGUUGGUGUCGAACACACUAGGCUGCAUGACUUUAGGUGGAUUUGAAGCAUCCCAUAAUACCUUGUAUACUUCUGCAGCUCUUCUGACUACAGACUUUAAAACCAAUAACCCAACAGUUAUUGAUAAGUGAUCAAGCCAAUACAUUUUUGAGAAACCCGACAGAGAAGGCACUUUCAUCUUUACUCUGUCUGGCUUUCAAUCAUUUCCUUGCAGGUACUGAGACCCAACACUAAUUUCAUAGCAUUCAAGUGUGAGAAACAUCAUUCCAAUACUGACUGUUAAAAGAAACCCUACAGGGGCUUCUGGCUGUUGGGCCUUUGUACUUUCUAAAUUAAUCACUUCUAAUAUGUACACAUCUGCAGUGGUGGUUUCAUUGACCAAUAAGUGUAUAAUCCCUUGCCAGCAGCUCGGCACCCUUUCUUCUAACUUAGUCAUUCUGUUCACAAGAAUAGCUCAUAUUUGGUUUUGGAAGAUCUUGGCCUUUACUCUGAUACCUCUAGUCAAACAGUUCCUCCAUGUCCUGUGGGUAUUUCAUGAACCUUGCAGACCCACCACCAAUGAUAACUUUUAUCUUUCAAUAACCAUUUAAUAGCAUGUAGUUUAGAUCGACUGUCAUGAGUGAAGAAACACCACUAUCAAGACUCGCGUUGACCAGGGGCAUAGCAAUCAUGGUACUGUGUUGGAAUUUAGGAAUCCUACGUGUUCCUGGACAACAUUUAGAUCAAAUCAUGGUGGGAAAAGAUGGCCUGUAUCCUAUCUGGAUCUUGCCUCUCCAGCUACUUCCUAGUUUUCCUCUUUCUCACUGAAUUUAAAGAAGUAUCUUUACAUGUCUCUCCAUUUUCUCACCUCCCUCCCCAUUCUGGUUUUCACUCCCACCCCACCAGUGUUUGUCCAGGAGUUCCCAGUGAUACUCAGACCUCAAUUCCCACACACCCUUUGGACUUAACGCCUUUUCUUGACCUUUGAGUACUGUGGACUACUACAUUAUUGAGGCAAUCCUUCUUUGAUCAGCCUGAUGAGAUGUUCUUCUGUGACCGUGAAGACCUUGGUCACUCCUUAUCAAUCUUUCCCAGAUGUUGCUCUUCUGAAUUUAUAUAUAGACCUCUAAAAACUCAGGGUUCUUCAAGGCUCUCAGGUCAUCUCAGUCUUGGGCAGCUCCCUUAGUCAUAGUUCCUGUGUCCUUGGUUUCAUUAAUAUCGCGAAGGCUAUGACUUCCAAAUGGCUAUUUCCAACCUUUUUCCAGUCUUUUUUCUAAGUUCUAGACCUCUGCUGAAUGUCUAGUCACUGAUGUGACAUUUCGGUCUGAUGUUUCACAGGUCAGUGCAGCCCAGUGAAUCCCAAAUUGAACUCGAAUCUAUUCUCCAAAGACAUGCUAUGUCUCCAGUGAUUUUCUCAAUAAGUGGAUCUUGAAACAUCCAUGAGUUUGGGGCUGUCAUCACAGUUAUCUUGGCCAUCUCUCUCAUCCUAGGGUGCAUUUGCAAUUAACACUCAGAUCUUGGCAAGACCUCUUCUGGUUAUUUUCUGAAUCCAGUCACAUACUGAUAUCUUCACUCCUGUAGAAUCUCCAGACUCUUCUGACCAGAUUUCAUCCAUGUGUUCUUCCCCCUUUUCCUUCCAUUCUGACAAGAGUCAGCUUUUAAAUGCAGCUCUCACACUGCCAUGCCCCUGCCCUUUGACAGUGUCCCGUUCCUCUUUGCUAUGGCUUAGGAGUACUCACGUGAUUCAGUCUCCGUCUCAUGCCCCAGCCCCGCUCCUGCCACUCUUCUCCUUCCUCGCAUCCUCUCAGCCACUGGGUGCUCAUCUCUCACCUCCAGCUGCCAGCACUUCUCCCUCUGCCAUUCCACCCCACCCACCUCCCACACCUAUGCAAUGUGCCGGCAGUGAGGCCUUUCCUGGGAUGGGUCCUUGACUUAGUCACUGUCAUUUCACAGUCUGUGCAUAGCAAUUAUGACCAUUCAGUGAUUCACAUGAUAAUAUGUUUAUGUUCUGUGUCUGGGAUAGACUGUAAUACCAUGAAACAGGGCCCUACUUGCAUUAUCCGCUCUUCUGUCUUCAUCACUAUCACCGUGUGAAGGUUUCUGUUGAAUAAAAGGCUGAAUUGCUCAUAUGGCUUCUGCUAAGGUGCUAUAAGCUGCUGACAGGAAACUUGGCAUUUUACCCAAGUUGCCUCGCCUCUGUCCCUCCACAGUGUAGGGUGAAUAAUGCCUAUCAGAGAGUUCUAGUGUAAUGAGUAAAUAUUCGUCCCCAAUUUUAAUAUACGAAAUUCUGUAGGAACACGUUCAGAGAAUGUCAGUUGAAUGAAUGGAUUACAAAAAUGGAUACAGAGAGAGCUUGGUUUGGCACAUCGGAAUUCUCCACAUAUCCUUGGCUAAAGGAAGAACUAUGGUAACAAAGUAGGCAACAUCAGCAUCAAGACUAGAAAAUGUGAGGAGAGGAUUUGGGGGUUAAUUUUAGCAUGUUCUUAUUUGAGGAGUAGCACAUUGACUAGUGAUGUCCCAGGGAGGGACACAUGGUGGGAUUUCUAAACCCUCUCGCUCCAGUUGGCUGAGCUACAUUCACAGAGCUGUCUUCUGAGAUCCAGAAACAGACUGGAGCUGUGGGUCGGUAAAGCGACCACCCCAGAGCACUCAGCACUACUGUUCACUGGCACAGACUAUAUCUAGAGAGCCAGAGAAAACUUCUGUACCAACUUCCCAUUAAGAAAUUCACCUACAAUAAUUGUCUCUUUCAGGGAUAGAGGUGGACUCAUGAGAGGAUGCUGGAGCAAGCUAACCGCAGCACAGCUGGUGUUCUUCCUCACACCUCCGCAGAAAAGGGGCCAGGUGCCUUUCUAGGAAACAGAACUUUCUAAAUUGUUCUCUUGUCAUGCAUUACUUGAGAGUGGCAAUUGCCAAACUAUUUUGAAGAAAGCGGGUUAUUAAUAACUACCCACCUACCUACUAUCUACUUAAAACAUACCCUGGUAAAAACUCUUCUUUCCUUUUACAGAUUCUCACUUCCUUUCCUACCCUCCUUCCAUCUUUAAAAAUUAUCGGUUUUAGUGUCUGAGAGUCUAGCUCAAUGGGGGUGCACUUGCUUGUCAUGCUUAAGAGUGGGUUUGAUCUUCAGUACUGAAAAAAAUUAUUCAUUGUAUAAAUAGAUGCAUAAGCAAACAUCCUCACCACUCUCCACUUCACUCUGAGCCAGGAUCAGAGUAUUUGAAUUUUAUCAUGAAGAGAAGUCAGAGUCAGAAUGGGACAGGACUUUUGAGUCAGAUGGAUCUCUUUUCAAUCUGUAGAGGAUCUUGGACAGGUAGCUUGAGGAUUCAGCUCCUCCUCUACGCAAAGAGUAUAAAUAGCAGCACCUUUGCUGUGGCUUGAUGUUCUCCACCUGAUCAAGGAAGCACACAGCAUGUGACACAGAAGAGUACCCAGUGAAUAUUAACUCUUUACUUUCUAAUUUUUCUCUUGAUAAUUAAUUAAUUAUAUCUUAGCAAGCAAUGGGAUUUAAAUUCUUUGAGCAGUCACUUAUUAAUUAGUGUCCUUUCUACUUAGCUGUCUCCCCCACCUGUGCUCUACAUCAGAGCAACAUUGGCCAUUGAACUAGCCAGGGAAUCCUGGAUUGCAGAGGGGAUCUGAGCUUGGUGGAGGUUGAGCUCAUUCCAUCAAGUUAUUUAUAACUCUCAGGUUUGAUCACUCUAUUUUUAGCUGCAUUCAUGGAGAAAACAUUGACUAUUUCCCAUGUAAGGCCCUAUUAUGGGUUUCAUUGUGUCCACCUAAAAUUCACAUAUUUAAAGUCCUGAAUCCUAGUACCUCAAAUGUGGCUUUAUUUGGAAACAGGGUAAUUGCACAUGCAGUUAGUUAAAAUGAGGUCACUGGAGAAGGCCCUAAUUCAAUACAACAAGUGUCCUUAUAAAAAAGAGGAAAUUCAGACACAGACACACAUGCACUGAGAGAACACCAACAGAAAAUGAAGGCAGAGCUUAAAAUGAUGUGUCCCAGGCAGAAGAAUGUCAGAAGUUGCCAGCAAACCCCAAGAAGCUAAGGGAGAAGCAUAGAGAAGGUUCUCCUCCACAAUCCUCAGAAGGAACCAACACCCAUGACACCUUGAUCUUGAACAUCUAACAUGCAGAAUCCUGAGACAAUAUGUUCUAUCAUUUAAGCCACUUAGCUUGUGGUACUUUGUUAUAUGGUAGCUCUGGCCAACAAAUACAGACCAAAUGUGUUACAUAGCAAAAGAACUGUUUAUGAGAUAAAUGUGAAGUUAUUUCCCCUACUUCAAAGGGGUUCGCCCUAGUGAGGGAAACUCACACUGCACUUCCCAGUGACUUCAUACUUAGGGUAUCUCUGAUGGCUAGUUGCAGGUUUCCAUUCCCUCUCAGGCUGCUAACUUCCACAAUGUAUUUUCUCAAUCUCUUUUAAUGCAUUGACUUGAAAUGUGUGCACUGCUUCUUUAGGGUGAGGAUCUAUGUUGACCCCUUUAUCUCUACACAGUACUGUUGGGAGAGGGAACAGCCAGAAUUAUGAAGGAAGACACCAAAGAGGAGAAAAAUUACAUCUUGUUCUUACAACAUCCACAGAGGUGGUCCUGAGCCUCUUCCGAGGUGUUUCUCUUACAACCUGCCACUAUGAAUUUUCCAUCCAUACAGUGCUCUGAGUGUUAGAAAAUUACUUCUAAUUUUGAAAUAAAUUUGUUUUCCUGAAACUUUAAAAUGAGUGUAAUGCAGAAUAACACCUUCCAACGCCUUAGGCAAUUAAAGACUGAUACCAAAUGACCCCAGAGAUUCAUCUUCUUAAGAUCACACCUGACUCAGGAUGGAGGUAGCUUCUGACUUUGUUUAUGGUGAAUCAACGUUCUAGACACACAGGGACCUUUCAUGGACAUCUUUUUAUUUUCAAGGUGCAUUAUAAGUAGGUAUUGAACCCAAAUGAGGUUAGCAAUUUGUCUGAGUUGAGAAGUGAGUAACCAUGGGAUUCAUAAACUGGUCUGUUUGAAAGUAACCCGGGUCCUGGCUCUACAAACUCAAAGUCGACCUCUGUUUUUCAAUGGUGAGUCUGAUUUACCCUCUUGUUCUGAUGUUAAACAUUGCAUCAUGAAAGGACUGCAGUUCAUGACUGCAUCGCACAACCACCUAGCCCCCAUCAUCCUGCCCAAUCAAGAUGGGCUCAGCAAGUGCAGGCACCAUUUGGUAGAAGACUUUGGUAUCAACAAAUCUAAUAGUGCCAAGCAAAACAACCUUGAUGGACAACUGUUGCCUUGCCCAGCUGUUCAACAGAUGGGGAAAUGAACACCAAAAUGACCCAACCAUCAUUAAAUAUUUCUGCUUCAUAUUUUUUGUUAUCCUUGAAUAUUAGAGCAAUGAAACUAAUAAAUGAUACUGUCUCUAAAAUAGAGGAAGGAUUACACAACUGUCAAGGAUUGUCCCUGUAUUUUAUAGUAGGAAAAAUUUUGCUUUCAUGGUGUGGUGUCUGAGUUGUCUUGACCUGCUCUAUAAGCUCCAGCUAGACUUAGCUCUUAGACUUGGAUUCUAAGGGCUACAUGUCAUUAUUUAUUAAACAAAAAAAACAUUUGCAGUUUUGUUUGGAGAUCAAAUGUGAUGGUUUUUUUGAACACUAUGUAAAAUGUAUAAUGUGCAAUAAAAUGUAAGCAUUGAAGAAUUUUAGGUACUUGAUUUGACAGAUAAGAAUAACUGUCUGAGUGAUGGAAGAAAAAGUAGAGGAUUUAGGUAGAAUCACAAAGAAGAACCCCGCAAACUUCAGAAUAGGUUAGAAGAUGCAGAUCUGCACACCACAACAGCCUAUUACCUAAAAUAGCAGAGUGCUGCAUUUAUAUGAAAUCUAUUUGCCAUGGGUUCUGCAGGUAUUUUCAGAAUAGUGUAGAUUUUUUUUUCUUCAUUUUGACUUUGGUUGGUUUCCCUAUUGUGCAUCCAACAUUGAUUGUUAAAUGAAUGCCUUUCUUUAUAAACUUUAUUGGAAUAGGGGUGGUGUCAUUACAAAAGAAUAGAUAAGAUACAAAUAUAUUGAGAUUCAGCCACUAUUCUCAUAGAAGAGUAGAUUAUUAUGAAAGAUAGUGGGGAACAGCUUUGACUCACCAUUGUUAGAAACUGUGAUGCCAAUUAGGGACCUUCAGUUUAAGUAUAAAAUGGAAACCACCAGAUUAUAUAAUGCAAGACUCUCGUGAUAAGGAGAAGAACUUCAACUUACAAAGAUGGAAAGGAAAAAGAGAAUGGGCAUUUACAAUGCAUCCCUGGUCUGUCUUGCUUCAUAAAACUAAAUGUGAUUUGUUCAUCUUUUCAUUUCCCAUUGGAAUUUGUCCAUUUCCCUCUUAUGAUCCUUAUAUUUCUGUGUAUGUGUAGAUGAUGCUCUCUGCAGGCAUAGUAGAAGACUUUGUAGUUAAUGUCUGGAAUUGUGGCAAUUCAGGCUGGGACUAAGAGCUCUCUUGUUGGGACACUGAAGUUAGUAUUGACUUAUAAAUCAUGGACCAAUGUCAGACCCAGAAUAUUAGGGAUUUUGAAAGACAAGAUUCCACUGUGGUACUUAUGUCAGUUUCUUCCUUUAGCUGCUCAGGAGUAACUACAGUUCUUACUAAUCUACGUGUUCAGAUUCGAUCUUCACCCACCCCAAGUCUAUAGAUUAGGUAACAUAGAUGAAUGUCAAUGGAACAUUUAACACAAACUUUCAAUUUUAUUACAAAAAAUCAGGGAUAUGAAAACAAACCCUCAGCUUUGGUGCCACAGACUUUGAGGAGAUAAUAAUUUGGGGGAUAAUUUAAAAUGCACUCACUUUCUUGGAGAAGGGUCAUCACAGCUGAAAUUCACACUUUGCACAGAAUUGGGGGAAAUAAAAAAUAAUCAAAAUAGAGAACAUUUAUCAGACAGAUGUUUAUGAAGUCAUGGUGAAAACUCUUAAUACUUUCAUGACUGAACUUUGUACAAUUUAAACUAAGCAUCUUUCAUGUCUGUUCAGUAUCGAUUAGUCAGGCAAACCAGCAUGGGGCAUGCUAUGUGGAGUUUGUCAAAGCACCCUGAGCCAAAUAUGCACGGAGUCUGCAAAGGAGGCCUCAGCAAUUGCUCACAUCCUGGUACACACAUUCCUUUGCAAAGCGAUUGUUUCUCCUAUUAAGUUGUGAUACCCAUUUUCCCUCCCUGGUAAUCUGGGUUGGCCCUGUAACUUGCUUUGACCAACUGAAUGUGUCAGCAGUGACACCAAGCAAUUCACAAACCUCAGUUACAGGAGAUUUUAAUCUUUUGUCCUUUGCUCUAGAAAGGCUCCUGCCAGUCUGUGAAGACUCUUGAUCUCCUGCCUGGAAUAAAAGAAGCCAUAUGGAGCAGGGACACAUCUUCCAAGCUGUGGGCUUUGGACCAGUUCAUCAACACCAGAGCCAUUUGUCAGCAAUGGGAGGGAGGUGAUCUUGGAACAGCUACCCUCUAGUGAACCACCAAGCACAUGAGUGACCUCAAGCAAGACCAGCCAGGAUCCACCCAGCUGGGACCAGCCCAACUUGUUGGCCUACAGAAUGAUGAGCAGCUGAUUGUUAAGUGACAAUGUUUUGAAGUAGUUUUCAUACAGUAAAAUGGAAAAAGAGAAUGGGCAUUUACAAUUAGAUGACUAACAAAGCAAUGGCCUUCAGAAUAAAUUCUCUGACUUAAUUCAUCAAAGAUUGAUUAGUUCUAACACUAGAAAAAAAGUUUUCAUUCUUAAUGUUAAGCGUCUUUUAUAGAAUUAAAUUAACUAUUAGUCCAAGGUUAUAAAAGUAGACAUGAUGGGAUAAACUGUAACAAUGGAUAUUUUUCUCCUUUCAUUGACAAAUUUCUGUCUAUUCAUUCAUCCAAAAAUUUCUGUCUAUUCAUUCAUCCAAAAUCAUCUUUAGUAACCAUGUAAUCAUCCAUGAGAGACCUUUUUUUUCAGUUUGUAUUAAAGUCAAUGUUGUAACUAUAUAUGGAGUUGACAUUAAAACCUGUUCUAAAGUAGAAUUGGGUUUUUACUUCUUUUUUCUGUUUUCUUGACCUCUAUUCAUCAGCUAUGUUACACAACUGUGUACAAACCAGUCACAUUGGUCUAAAGGUAUGCC